ACAUGUACAUUCCAUAUACACAAAUAAUUCCGUUGGCGCAAAUAGAACUAAGAAAUGACAAAUGAAAAGACAAGAAAUGUAGGUGCUAAAAAAAGAAAGUUCGCAUGCAGGAUGAAGCAAAACACUGGACGAUCCUUUGACAUGCAUGCACGUAGACGUACAUGCACGCACUUAAUUGGUACUAGUUGAUUGCGCGGCAGUUCUUCCUGAUCUGUCCCUGGUCACCGGUCUUGACCUCGAUGCCGGCCAUCUUCACCAUGGCCUUCUCGAACCUGUCCUCCCACCAUCCGGGGAUGUUGGCGUUGUCCACCACCAUCCUCGCCGUCUCCUCGGAGGUCAGGAGNNNNNNNNNNNNNNNNNNNNNNNNNNNNNNNNNNNNNNNNNNNNNNNNNNNNNNNNNNNNNNNNNNNNNNNNNNNNNNNNNNNNNNNNNNNNNNNNNNNNAAAGCCUGCAUGACAUGGUCCAAGGGUAAUUUCAAUCAUUCUUGCGCUCUAUCGGUCUCUUUCGAUGAUUUUCUGAUAUAUCAAUUAAUGAAAAACUUAGCAAAUUAUUAUCCUUGUCGGGCAGGGUUUGGAAGCGGUUCAAGUGCGUGACUCCCGGUAACUUUCCUGAGAAGCUGACCUUUAGAGCGGCUCAGGUAAGUAGUAGUAUGAUAUACUUAUAUUUUCAAUACAUUUAUGAUGCUAGAUUAUUAUUUUGAUUAUAUAUAUUAUAUUCUCGUAAUGUGCGACCAGCAGCCACGGGGAACGCAUCUAUGCGGAUACUAUGUUUGCGAGACCAUUCGCACGUUUACCUCUGAGCACAAGGAUCAUAGAUUCGACGUAAGCAAUGAACAUUCACACCUCUAUUUUUACCCGUCAUUCUUUGUUAUCAUGAUUGAUAUUCAUAUUCAUCUCCUCUUCUUAUACAGCACACGGCCAUGAGGACGAAUGUCCUACCAUAGCAACGCGCGAUUGCUGUUGCAGAGGAGCUUGCGGGAUUUCUGAGGACGGAAGCUAUAGAUGACAAAGGACGAUUGAGUGUAGCUAGGGGCCAUUACUAAUGUUCGUCCAUGUAAUCGAAUAGACGGGCUCUAGUCCCGAUAAUUCAGAUCUCCAUAUAAUUGUAUAUAUAUGCUCGCUUGUAAGAUAAGUUAAUCUUAUAUAUAUAUAUGCAUAAUUAUUUCUAUUUAGAAUUAUAUGAAAACUAAUUCCCGAACACCAAACGAGGCAUCACUUAAUCUCCCGAACACCUAACCCGAAAACCCUAAAACCCAAAAAUAAACGAAAUCUGAAACUCUUUAGUCCCGGUCCGUGUAAAGAACCGAGACUAAAGGGCCUGCCUCUGAGGAUGCUCCGAGGCGCCCACGUGGAGCACCUUUAGUCCCGGCUUGGAACAGGGCCGGAACUAAAGGUUAGGCCUUUAGUCCCGCCCCUUUAGUCCCGGUUGGUGAACCGGGACUAAAGCCCCUUACGGGCCGGAGCUAUAGGCCCUAUCCCCACUAGUGUAUACCAACUGAUUUGUUGAUUGUCAAUAAUUAUUAUGAUUUAUACUUGAAAUAUUGUGGAUGGAUUGUUACUUUCUUAUAAGAAUCUAUAUGAUGAAAACCUUGUUGCUAUGUCAGUAUUCAUGAUGCCCUCUUUUCCAUAUUCUAUUUUUAUAGUCACCUCUCUCUCAAAUCAUGUGGUCAUUAUUAUCGAGUUCGGCUUUCGCUUGAGGACAAGCGAGGUCUAAGCUUGGGAUAGUUGAAACGUCCAUUUUGCAUCAUGAAUUCUUAUUGAUACUUAUGUUAUUCUUGUCCAUUAUUCCUCAUUAUGAUAUAGUUCUUUUGUAUUUUCUCUCUAAAUGUGCAAGGUAAACGACCUAGAGGGAAACUGCCGGAAACUGGAAUUCUGAACUUGAAAAUCAAGAAAAAAGGUGAAAAAUCAGUUUACUCUAAAUGACCUGAAAUUUCAUGGAGAAUUUUUGUGCACUAUACUAGAAUUAUUGGGCCAAAAAUAUACCCGAGGGGGCCAUCUGCUGGCCACAAGCCAACAGGGCGCAGCUGAUAUGUCUCCAACGUAUAUAUAUUUUUUUUAAUUGUUCCAUGAUGUUAUAUUAUCGCUCCUGGAUAUUUUAUAAUCAUUUUAUAGAAAUUUUGUAUCUUUUUUUGGGACUAUCCUAUUGACAUAGUGCCUAGUGUCAGUUGUUAUUUUUUACUUAUUUUUUCCUUCGUAGUAAAUCAAUAUCAGAAGAAGUCCAAAUGCCACAAAAAAAUUUGGAGGUUUUUUUGACCAGAAGAAAACUUGUGGACCAAGGAUGCUCACCAAGGGAGGCCCAGGCGGCCCACUAGUCACAAGGGCGCGCCCUGGGCCCCGGGCGUGCCCUCGUGGGUAGUGGGGGCCUCGGGCACCUCCUCCAAUGCCUCUGAGCUCUAUGUAUACCCGAAUAUUCCAGAAACCCUAGAAGAAAACACAAAAAAUAAUUUCAACCGCUGCAAGUUACAGAAGCCACGAGAUCCAAUCUAGAGCCUGUUUCGAAGAGGAACACAGUCACGGAAGAUUCAUCAUCCUCAUUGGUGCUCCUCCGACGAUGCGUGAGUAGUUCAUAUCAAACCUACGGUCCUUAGGAAGUAGCUAGAUGGAUUUCGAUCUUGUUUUGCUUCUCAAUACAAUGGUCUCUUGGAGAUCUAUUUGCUGUAACUCUAUAUUUUGCAGUGUGUUUGUUGGGAUCCUAUGAACUGUGAGUUAGUGAUUAGAUCUAUGAAAUUAUAUCCAUUCUUAAUUAUUAGAGCCUCGUAUUUCUUCUGCGAUAUUUGGGUUUCGUUUGGCCAAAUUGAUCUUUUUAUCUUGCAAUGGAAAGAGGUGCUUUGUGAGGGGUUCGAUCAUGGAGUGCUCAAUCUCAGUGACAUAAAAAGACAUGAUACGUAUGUAUCAUUGCUAUUAAGUAUAAAAUGAUGGGGGUCUAUUGCUACAUGAAUAGAUCUUGUCCACAUCAUGUCAUCGUUCUUAAAGCAUUACUCCGUUUCUCCUUGAACUUAAUACACUCAAUGCAUGCUGGAUAGCGGUCGAUGUGUGGAAUAAUAGUAGUAGAUGAAGGCAGAAGUCAGCCUAAUUGUCUUGGACGUGAUGCCUAUAUACAUGAUCAUUAUUUUAGAUAUCUUCAUAUUUAUUCGCUCUUUUAUAAAUUGCCCAACUACCCACCGUUUGCUAUUUUCUCGAGAGAAGCCAGUAGUGAAACCUACAGUCCUCGGGUCUAUUUUACAUUAUCUAUUUGCAAUCUCUAUUUUACCAAAAAUGCAAAAAUACCUUGCUGCGUUUUAUUCACCAUUACUUUAUUUGCAUCUAUCAAUCUAUCCAUUUACCGUUUUAUUUUACCCACGAGGGAUUGACAACCCCUACACGUGUUGGGUUGCGAGGAUUUGUUAUUUGUGUGGAGGGAAAUACUUGUUGUCGUUGUGCUAUAUCAUCCUUUAAGCUUGGAGAGAAACCAACGCAAUCCGCGAGGAGUCAAGAUGUCUGGCACCGUUAUCAGGGAAGAUCAAGUGAAGAUCUAUCAGGUUCCUACAGAUAAACUCUCAUCUCCUUGCAAUUACAUUAUUGACCAUUUGCCUAUUGUUUUCCUCUUCCCCAAUUCAAAAAAAUGCCUUUUAUUUGCCUUCUUUCUGUUUGCCGUUUUCUUGCCGGAUAUCUUGUUUGCUUGUGUUCUUGCUUGAGUAGGCGUGAUGCCUCAAGGGAGGUAUUAUGAUGUUCUGUAUACCAAUAUUUUGUUAGAGAUUGAGAAAAGUAUCAAGGAGUACAUGACUAUGCAAUUUGAGAAAAAUAUUUUCUUAUCGAAGAAUUUAAGGAACAUUCUAUUUUGGUUGAUGCUGUAACAAAACAACUUGAUCAUGUCUCCCAAAUGGAUCUAGAGUCCGGAUCUAGCUCCUCCUCCGUGUACCUCAGCACCUCCCACCAAUCCUUGACGCACAUGCUCCAUGAGUAUGCGUCGUCGUAGAAUCUCAUCGCCCGCUCCAUCCAACGCCUCUCCCUUGUCGCCCGCAGUGUCAUCGGUGACACGGAGCUGAUUGGGGAAAGCAUCUUCAGGAAGGACUGGUACACAAAUGGGAGAUGCAUUCGUGGGACCGUCGAUUCGGGAGGGGUGGUGAGUAGGUCGAACUAGUUGCGUGUGGCAUGGCGCUGACUGGCAUUUUUGAAUAUACUAGCCCGUACAUUUUUGUUACGAGUUGCAAACAUGGUUUUCUUACUUGGAUUUUAUUUUUGAUUUCAUGGCGUUAAGCCAUUGAUUGGAACUAGGGCCGACCAUUCCUUCCUUGUAAUAUGUAGGUUCAUCAUCCUCUUGUAUAAAUAUCUCGUUCUCAAACUAGUGAAGCAUGUAUGACAAACUAUAGUUGUCCUGCGUGGCUUAGCUGCAGUCUUGCCUGAAGUCUUCGCACCAAAUGCUGGAACUUCCGGUAGUUGCAUAAUUAGUUCCAAGGCCUCAGCCCCUUGAGUUGUGGACGAAGAUUGAGUAAUCUCAUUUCGUUGCACUGUCUUUUCACUCACCUCUUUCGCAAGAAACUCUUUCAUGAGAAAUGUUUUGUUAUUCGAGAUUCAGUGAGGGUGGGGGCGGGGGAGGCGGCGACGACGAAUAUGGUUGUGGGCGCAAGGAAGUCUACGUUGGCAUGGCAGGUACGGCUAUGGGUGAAAUAAAUGUGAGUGACGGUGUCGGCAGGCGCGGCCCUGAGGGGGGGGGGGCGGUCGCCCCGGGCCCCCCGGGACCUGAGGGGCCCCCAACUCAGGUAUGUGUGAGCACCCAACCCCCAAUCAGCCAAAGAUGCCAUUAGAGCAGUUAGAGACUAGAGAGUAGCUGCGGUAUGGCUUUAGGAAGAAGAAAGCUGAAACGGUAUUUCCUUUAGCUACUUGGGCUUUGGGCCUUUGUUUCCUUUUGCUGAAUCGUGGCAUUAAGUGGUGGUGGGCUUUUCCUGAAAGAAGUAAUGGUGGGUUAUGUGUAAGAAAAAGUGGUGGGUUAUGUGUAAGAAAAAGUGGUGGGUUAUGUGCAAGAAAAAGUGAUGGCCGGCCACACCAAACUAGAGGAGGAAACGAGCACAUGGUACACAACUUAUAAAUUAAAAGAAGAAGAUUGGUGACCAAUUGACAUGCUUGCGUGUUGUCUGACAUUACAACCCUGACAAACUAAUAUUACUUUCUUUUUUUUUGUAAAAUAAAUCUAUUUUUUAUUUUGCAAGCGUAGCAAACUAAUACUGUAUCUCGAUAAGAAAAAUAAACAUAUCAUAAUUAUUAUAUGUGCGGUGUCCAUAAACAAAAGUAUUGUAGCGGAGACCAAGAGCGGCACGCACGAUGACGACAGACUGACGCCAUGGAUGUGCACUAUGGUCAUUCCGUAUUAUGAAUUGAGAGUUGACUGUUCUACUUUGGUGUUAAUAUUCAUAUGUGUGAUUCUAAUUGUUAUUUUGCUUCUAUAAGUUUCGUAUAUAUGAAAAAGUUUUUUCACCUAUUCAGUUUCUUCAUACAUAAAAUUUAGUGUGUGCUCCGUCACCAUGUUUCUGUGUAAUUUGCGUGCAAAUGGAUAAAUGUAAUUUAGAUGAUCUUCUGUAUUCUAAUGCCUCGGUGUGGCGACAAACUCUUGAUAUCAUGUGUGUCCCGGUCAGAAAUGACCCAUCACCGCCCUCGACGAGUCCUACCAAGAUGCAGCUACAUCAUGCACAUUAGCCCCCGCAUCGACGUGAUCUCAUAGAAGAUAUGUGUCUGAUUCUCUUUUCAUAGAUAUCAUCAGUAAAGACCUUGUGUGCAAGAUUACUGGAUUCUUUUUGGGGAGCUUCUUUUCUAUCUCGCCCUGGGUCCCCGAAAUCACAGGACCGGCCCUGGCUGUCGGUGGAGCCGAUGAUGGCUGGGAGAUACAUGGUGGUGAUGCAGCUGGAGCUUUGGAGUUUCGUGGAUGAUGGCUAGGAGGUGGCAGUGUGACAGAAACUAUUGUGCUGAGGUGGAUGUGGUGCAGCAGAAAUGAGCAUCAGGUUAACUAGACUCGAAUUGGUGCCCGCACGUUUUGUUUUAUAGUACUGGGGGAUCAAAGAAGAUGGGCUUUGGUGUUCCUUAUGUCGGGUGCUUGGUAAAGUAGACCAUGUGACGACUCAUGGCUUUCUUCAUUUCAAGAAACAAAAUGAUAAGUGUUUAUCGAGUUUCCAUUAAAACUCGACAAAGCCAGCCCCCUCUGUCACCUAGUUAUCGCCUCGUUUGUUUGGGGCCCCUCCGUCACGACUUUGGGGUGUUUCUUUCCAGGGACUUUUUGGUGUAGGGACUAAAAAAGACCCUUUUACUCCCAUGUGAAAGAAACAGGAGGGACUUUUAGGAACUAAAAGGGGGUAUUUGGGACUAAAGGAAGAUGUUCCUAUGGAAGGGACUUUUGGGGACUUUUUUUUUUGACACUUUUUCCAACAGUGCCCCUACUUUUAGCAUGCCAUUUAAUAACCUCUAGUAUAUUACUAGGGGUUACAUGGUCUUUUUGCAUGUCAUUUAAUGACCUCUAGUCCAUAUUUAGUCCUUGGAAAGAAACGGGUAGGGACUAAAUACUUUUUAGUUGAGACUAAAAAAAGUCCUAAGAGUUUUUAAAGAAACAGGGCCUUUGUCGAGUUCCUUUACCUCUGGACUCGGCAUCCCAAGGACUUUCUCAUAUUNNNNNNNNNNUGAAUGAUUGUCGAGUUGGUUUUCUUCGUCAGGUUUGUCGUGUUUCAUGCCAUUGCCCAGUUCAUUUAGGCAUGUUCUUGGCAAACUGCUAACAUUGCCGGGCUCAUGAUAAAAUACACUCGGCAAACUCCGGGAAAUAUGCAUCUUCGNNNNNNNNNNNNNNNNNNNNNNNNNNNNNNNNNNNNNNNNNNNNNNNNNNNNNNNNNNNNNNNNNNNNNNNNNNNNNNNNNNNNNNNNNNNNNNNNNNNNUCUCUCGAAGUAUCAGCGUUUCGAACGAGAACUCAUCUCUUACAAAGGUUUAUUAAAAUUCUUUUUGCAUAUUUAAGAAUUUGACAAAACUAUGAAAAUGAAAAGUGUUUGAAAUUUAGUACAUUCCAUACAUGCAUUACAUAAAAGGUUUAAUACAUUAUUACAUUAUUGUACCAAUAUUCCUAUCUAUUAUUUCUGUUUUCUUCUGGGUCGUAGCCAUGGAGAAUCUUCAUCAUUCAGUAGGAUGCUUGGGUCAGUUUUCACUUUGAAGGGCGGAAUUUCAUGAAACUUAUUAUAAUCUUCUGACAUGUAUGUCUUGUCAUCUACUCCCACGAUGUUUCUUUUCCCUGAAAGAACUAUGUGGCGUUUUGGCUCAUCGGACGAUAUCUUCUUUUGCUGAUUUCUUUUUCUCGUUUUUGUAGACAUGUCCUUCANNNNNNNNNNNNNNNNNNNNNNNNNNNNNNNNNNNNNNNNNNNNNNNNNNNNNNNNNNNNNNNNNNNNNNNNNNNNNNNNNNNNNNNNNNNNNNNNNCAUAGAAAACCUGAGCGAUAUCAUUGGCUAGGACAAAUGGUCCGUCCAUGUAUGCAAGAUUGUUGAGAUCCACUGUUGUCAUGUCGUACUUUUGGUCUACAACUACCCCGCCUCUUGUNNNNNNNNNNNNNNNNNNNNNNNNNNNNNNNNNNNNNNNNNNNNNNNNNNNNNNNNNNNNNNNNNNNNNNNNNNNNNNNNNNNNNNNNNNNNNNNNNNNNUUUUGAGCUAGUUGACCCUGAAAUUGAAAAGCACUACAAAUGAACUCUGAAAAUGUUGAAACUUGGCAUGCUAUCAUGAUUUCACCCACAUAGCAUGUGUUAAAAAGUUGAGAGGGCUACGACAAAAACUGAAUGCACUUCGUGUACAAAACGGACAAUCUCUCUCGAAGUAUCAGGGUUUCGAACGAGAACUCAUCUCUUACAAAGGGAUUUCCUUUUUUGGAACUUAUUUGAACUCCAUACUUUUUGUGUGUUCGAAAUGCACCAUUCAAAGGCACAUCACAAAAUUUCAACAAUUUCUGACUNNNNNNNNNNNNNNNNNNNNNNNNNNNNNNNNNNNNNNNNNNNNNNNNNNNNNNNNNNNNNNNNNNNNNNNNNNNNNNNNNNNNNNNNNNNNNNNNNNNNNNNNNNNNNNNNNNNNNNNNNNNNNNNUGAAAUUGAAAAGCACUACAAAUGAACUCUGAAAAUGUUGAAAGUUGGCAUGAUAUCAUAAUUUCACCCACAUAGCAUGUGUUAAAAAGUUGAGAGGUCUACGACAAAAACUGGACGCACUUCGUGUACAAAACGGACAAUCUCUCUCGAAGUAUGAGGGUUUCGAACGAGAACUCAUCUCUUACAAAGGGAUUUCAUUUUUUGAACUUAUUUGAACUCCAUACUUUUUGUGUGUUCAAAAUGCANNNNNNNNNNNNNNNNNNNNNNNNNNNNNNNNNNNNNNNNNNNNNNNNNNNNNNNNNNNNNNNNNNNNNNNNNNNNNNNNNNNNNNNNNNNNNNNNNNNNCAGCUGCGAACAUUUAAUAAAAAUACUAUCUAGGGUGCAAUCUUAAUAAAUAAGUCAUUAUUCGUCUUCUUUCAUACCGGUACUCAUCCGGGUUGGGGAUGAACACGUCAACAAAAUCAGGAUUAGAGAUGAAACUGAAGGUCACUUGACUGAUUCUUUGUACGUAUUAAAUCUACAUGCAAGCCGUGUUAAAAUAGAAGACUUGUGAAAUUUUGAACAGCAUUUUUGUAGGAUAAAACCAUCUUUAUUUGUGUCGUAACUACAAAUUCUCAGAUUAUAGACCAUUUUUUUAUAAAUUAAGAGCGUGUGGUAUUUCUUUUCCCGUUGCAACGCAUGGGCCCUUUUGCUAGUAAAAUAAUAAAGCGGCUAUUGCUUCCGUCGGAAAACCCACCGCGUCAUUUUUAUAAAAUAGCCCCUGUAAUUUUUGUUAUUCAACCCGCGCUCCAUCAUUUAUCUGCAACGCAAAAGAAAAAAAUGAUUCGCUGUAAAAAUUAUACCCAUACGCAUCGCCUCCUCCCGUCGACCCUGGGCCACCCUGGCCUGAGCUCAGGCCGCCGCGGCCGACCUCAACCGCCACCGCUGCCGAUCUCAACCCACCCGCCUCCGCGGCCGUACCUCUCCCCGCUCACUGCCCCCGUUGCGGUGCUCGAGCGCAUCACGUCGACCCUGGUCCACCCUGGCCUGUGCCCAGGCCGCUGCCAAACCACUCGCCGCCGCGGCGGACCUCAACCACCACCGCUGUCGAUCUCAAUCCACCCGCCUCCGCGGCCGUACCUCUGCCCGCUUAUUGCCCCCGUUUCAGCGCUCGAGCACGGCUUCUGGAUCAAAUCAACGCGACAGCUACAGUGACUAGGGAUGAUGCGUCUGCUCGAUGCAGAACGGCGGCGGUGCGCGGAUAAGGCGCGGCGGAGCGAAGUACAUGCAGGCGGAGACGGGCCUCCAUGACUCAUACGGGGAACUCCGAGGUUAUGGCGCGGCAACGGCGACUCCUUAUGGCCAGAUAGAGGCGCCUAACCCUUUCUCCCUCAUCGUAUCCCCUCCUCCGGCAGGAACUCAUCAUCUAGUGAGAUCCCUCCCCAUGCGUCCAACCGUGUGCCAAGCACCGGCAAGAAAUUUUGUUUUGUGGGGAUUUGUUUGCUGAUGAAUGAAUGUAUUGAAUGUAAGAUUGCAUUAUUGUAGAGACAAAGAAUGGAACACCACCUCCAGUUUGUCAUCUGAUCCCACAUUUUCUAUCCCAUGAGUGAAAUAAGAUAACAGUCCAUUGAUCAAUUCACGUAGCCUCUUUGUUUUGCUUUGCUUGUUUCGUUCAAUUUUUCAUCAUGGUGGGAUUAACAAUGGACGGGUUGAUUUCUCAACAAAAUAGGAUAGAACUAACUACAUUAGUUAGUUAGCUUAUUAUUUUAAUAAAUCAAAAUGAUUAUAAAAAGAUUAAAAGCGUAUGGUAUUUUUUCUCCCGAUGCAACGCACGGGCCCUUUUGCUAGUAAAGUUAAUAAGUUAUUCAUGUAACAUGUUUUGGAUAGCGAUUUUGGAUGUUUUGAACAUGACAUCUGAACCUCUGCCAUGAUUCCCUGAAUCAGUUGGUAUAUACCUGUUACCCAAAAAAAAAGUUAGUAUACCGUAAUUGACGAAGAUGCAUAUUUCCCGGAGUUUGCCGAGUGUAUUUUAUCAUGAGCCCGGCAAUGUUAGCAGUUUGCCAAGAACAUGCCUAAAUGAACUGGGCAAUGGCAUGAAACACGACAAACCUGACGAAGAAAACCAACUCGACAAUCAUUCAAAAUAUGAGAAAGUCCUUGGGAUGCCGAGUCCCGAGGUAAAGGAACUCGGCAAAGUACUGACGGAGGGGCCUCAAACAAACGAGGCGACAACUCGGUGACAGAAGGGGCUGGCUUUGUGCUGCCGGAGAACUCAUCUACUUCUCCGUCUCUCUUGCUGGAUCAAGAAGGCCGAGAUCGUCAUUGAGUUGUACGUGUGCUGUACGCGGAGGUGUUGUCCGUUCGGUGCUAGAUCGGAACCCAUCAUGGGAAGAUGGUGAUUUGAAUCACGAAGCUGUACCACUACAUCAACCGCGUUUCUUAACGCUUCCCGCUUAGCGAUCUACAAGGGUACGUAGAUCUAGUCUCCUCUCGUAGAUGGAUAUCACCAUGAUAGGUCUUCGUGUGCGUAGGAAAAUUUUGUUUCCCAUGCAACAUUCCCCAAUAGUGGCAUCAUGAGCUAGGUUCAUGUGUAGAUGUUAUCUCGAGUGGAACACAAAAGGUUUUGUGGACGUUGAUGUUCGAUUUGCUGCCCUCCUUAGUCUUUUCUCGAUUCGGCGUAUUGUUGGAUUGAAGCGGUCCGGACCGACAUUACUCGUACGCUUACGAGAGACUGGUUUCAUCGACUAAGAUGCAACUUGUUGCAUAAAGAUGACUGGCGGGUGCCUGUUUCUUCAACUUUGGUUGAAUUGGUUUUGACCGAGGCGAUCCUUGGAGAGAGGUUAAAUAGCAAUUUGCACAUCUCCGUUGUGGUUUUUGCGUCAGUAAGACGCGAUUAUACUAGAUACCCAUAGCAGACACGUAAAACAUGCAACAACAAAUUAGAGGACGUCGAACAUGUUUUUACAGGGUAUGCUUGUGAUAUGAUAUGGCCAAUGACGUGAUGUGAUAUUUUGGAUGUAUGAGAUGAUCAUGUUGUAAUAGUUAAUAUCGACUUGCACGUCGAUGCUAUGGCAACCGACAGGAGCCAUAGGGUUGUCUUUAAACUAACGUUUGUGUUUGCAGAUGUGUUUACUAUAUUGCUAGGUUGUAGCUUUAGUAGUAAUAGUAUAGAUAGCACGACAACCUCGGUGGUAGCACGUUGAUGGAGAUCAUAGUGUGGCGCCGGUGACAAGAGGAUCAUGCCGGUGCUUUGGUGAUGGAGAUCAAGAAGCACAAGAUGAUGGCCAUGUCAUGUCAUUUAUGAAUUGCAUGUGAUGUUAAUCCUUUUAUGCACCUUAUUUUGAUUAGAACGACGGUAGUAUUAUAAGGUGAUCUCUCACUAAAAUUUCAAGAUGAAAUUGUGCUAUCCCCGACUGUGCACCGUUGCGACAGUUCGUCGUUUCAAGACACCACGUGAUGAUCGGGUGUGAUAGACUCAACGUUCACAUACAAUGGGUGCAAAACAGUUGCACACGCGGAACACUCGGGUUAAACUUGACGAGCCUAGCAUGUGCAAACAUGGCCUCGGAACACAUGAGAGCGACAGGUCGAGCAUGAAUCGUAUAGUUGUUAUGAUUAGCAUAGAGAUGCUUACCACUGACACUAUUCUCAACUCACGUGAUGAUCGGACUUGAGUUGGUGAAUUUGGAUCAUGUAACACUCAAAUGACUAGAGAGAUGUACUUUUUGAGUGGGAGUUUAUGAGUAAUUUGAUUAGUUAAACUCUAAUUAUCUUAAACAUAGUCUAAGUCCACUUUGUAAUAUUUUUGUGUAGAUCAAUGGCUCACACAACAGUCACCCUGAAUUUUAAUACGUUCCUAGAGAAAGCUAAAUUGAAAGAUGAUGGAAGCAACUUUGUAGACUGGGAUCGUAAACUUAAGAUGCUCCUCCAAGCUGGGAAGAAGGAUUAUGUACUUAAUGCUGCGCUAGGAGAUGAACCACCCGCUACGUCUAGCCAAGAUGUUUUGAACGCGUGGUUAACACGUAAGGAGGAGUACUCGGUAGUUCAAUGUGCAGUCUUGUAUGGCUUAGAGCCGGGACUUCAACAUCGCUUUGAGUGUCAUGGAGCAUAUGAUAUGUUCCAGGAGUUGAAGUUUAUCUUUCAGAAAAACGCCCGGAUCGAGAGGUAUGAGACCUCAGAUAAAUUCUAUGCUUGCAAGAUGGAGGAGAAUUCGUUUGUCAGUGAACAUGUGCUCAAAAUGUCCUGGUACUCAAACCGUCUAGCUGAGCUGGGGAUUGAACUCCCGCAAGAGCCUAUCACUGACAUAAUUCUUCAAUCACUCCCACCUAGCUAUAAGAGCUUUGUGUUCAACUAUAACAUGCAAGGGAUGAACAAGUCACCCAACGAGUUAUUCGCGAUGCUGAAAGUCGCAGAGUCAGAACUCCAGAAAGAGCAUCAAGUGUUGAUGGCCAAGAAGACCACUAGUUUCAAUAGAAACGACAAAGGCAAGAAGGGUAACUCCAAGAAGAGCGGCAAGCUUGUUGCCAAUCCGACGAAGAAACCCAAGGCUGGACCUAAUCCUGAAACAGAGUGUUAUUAUUGCAAGGGACUGGGUCACUUGAAGCGCAACUGCCCCAAGUAUUUGGCUGAUAAGAACGCGGCCAAGCAAAAAUCAGGUAUAUUUGAUAUGCAUGUUAUUGAUGUGUACUUAACCAACUCUCGUAGUAGUGCCUGGGUAUUCAAUACCGGUUCUGUUGCUUAUAUUUGCAACUUGAAGCAGGAAAUGCGGAAUAAACAAAGGUUGGCGAAAGAUGAAGUGACAAUGCGCGUGGGAAAGAUUCCAAGGUUGAUGCAAUCGCCGUCGGCACAGUCUCACUUCAGUUACCAUCAGGAUUAGUUAUAAACUUAAAUAAUUGUUAUUUAGUGCGUGCGUUAAGCAUGAAUAUUAUAUCUGGAUCUUGUUUAUUGCGAGACGAUUACUCGUUUCAGUCAGAUAAUAAUGGUUGUUCUAUUUCUAUGAGUAAUAUAUUUUAUGGUCAUACACCCAAUGUGAGAGGGUUGUUCAUAUUGAAUCUUGAUAGCGAUGAUACACAUAUACAUAACAUUGAGACCAAAAGAUGUAGAAUAAACAAUGAUAGCGCCAUGUUUUUGUGGCACUACCGCUUGGGUCAUAAUGCUGUAAAGCGCAUGAAGAAACUCCAUUACGAUGGGAUUUUGGAGUCACUUGAUUUUGAAUCACUUGACACGUGCGAACCAUGCCUCAUGGGUGAGAUGACUAAGACUCCGUUCUCCGGAACAGUGGAGCGUGCAAGUGACUUGUUGGAAAUCAGACAUACCGAUGUAUGCGGUCUGAUGAGUGUGGAAGUGCGCGACGGAUAUCCUUAUUUUCUCACCUUCACUGACGAUUUGAGUAGGUAUGGAUAUAUCUACUUGAUGAAGCACAAGUGUGAAACGUUUGAGAAGUUCAAGCAAUUUCAGAGUGAAGUUGAAAAUCAUCGUAACAAGAAGAUCAAGUUCCUACGUUCUGAUCACGGGGGUGAAUAUAUGAGUUUCGAGUUUGAUGCUCACUUAAGACAAUGUGGAAUUGUUUCACAGUUGACACCACGUGGAACACCAUGGCGUAAUGGUGUGUCCGAACGUCGUAAUCGUACUUUGUUAGAAAUGGUGCGAUCUAUGAUGUCUCUUACCGAUUUGCCGUUAUCAUUUUGGGGUUAUGCAUUAGAGACACCUGCAUUCACUUUAAAUAGGGCACAAUCAAAAUCCGUUGAGACGACACCAUACGAACUAUGGUAUGGCAAAAGACCGAAGUUGUCAUUUCAAGGUUUGGGGAUAUGAUGCUUAUGUCAAAAAGCUUCAGCCCGAAAAGCUGGAACCCAAAGCGGAAAGGUGCAUCUUCAUAGGUUACCCAAAGGAGACAGUUGGGUACACCUUCUAUCUCAAAUCCGAGGGCAAAACGUUUGUUGCUAAAAACGGAGCUUUUCUUGAGAAGGAGUUUCUCUCGAAAGAAUUGAGUGGGAUGAAGAUAGAACUUGAUGAGGUUGUCGAACCUCUAGUCCCUCUAGAUGGUAGCGUAGGGCAAGGGGAAACCCCUGUCGAAGCUACGCCGGUUGAGGAGGAAGUUAAUGAUGAUGAUCGUGAAACUUCGGAUCAAGUUCCUAUCGAACCUCGCAGGUCGACAAGAUCACGUACUACUCCUGAGUGGUACGGUAAUCCUGUCUUAUCAAUCAUGUUGUUAGACAACAAUGAACCUGCGAAUUACGAAGAAGCAAUGGUGGGCCCGGAUUCCAACAAAUGGUUGGAGGCCAGGAAGUCCGAGAUAGAAUCUAUGUAUGAAAACAAAGUGUGGACUUUGGAAGUAUUACCUGAAGGCCGCAAGGCUAUUCAGAAUAAAUGGAUCUUUAAGAAGAAGACGGACGCAGACAGUAAUGGGACCGUUUAUAAAGCUCGACUUGUGGUAAAGGGUUUUUCACAUGUUCAAGGAGUUGACUACGAUCAGACAUUCUCACCGGUAAUGAUGCUUAAUCCGUCCGAAUCAUGUUAGCAAUAGCUGCAUUUUUCGAUUAUGAAAUCUGGCAGAUGGAUUUCAAAACGGCGUUCCUUAACGGUUUUCUUAAGGAAGAGUUGUAUAUGAUGCAACCUGAAGGUUUUGUCGAUCCGAAGAAUGCUAACAAAGUAUGCAAGCUCCAGCGAUCCAUUUAUGGACUGGUGCAAGCAUCUAAGAGUUGGAAUAAGCGCUUUGAUGAGGUGGUCAAAGCAUUUGGGUUUAUACAAGUGGUUGGAGAAUCUUGUAUUUACAAGAAAGUGAGUGGGAGCUCUGUAGCGUUUCUAAUAUUAUAUGUGGAUGACAUAUUGCUGAUUGGAAACAACUUGGAGUUUUUUGGAGAGCGUAAAGAAUUACUUCAACAAAAGUUUCUCUAUGAAGGACCUAGGAGAAGCUGCUUACAUUCUAGGCAUUAAGAUCUAUAAGUAUAGAUCUAGACGCGUGAUAGGACUUUCACAAAGCACAUACCUUGAUAAUGUUUUGAAGAAGUUCAAAAUGGAACAGUCCAAGAAAGGGUUCUUGCGAGUGUUACAAGGUAUAAAAUUGAGUAAGACUCGGUGUCCAGCAACUGCAGAAGAUAGAGAACAAAUGAGUUAUGUCCCCUAUGCUUCAGCCAUAGGUUCUAUCAUGUAUGCAAUGUUGUGCACUAGACCAGAAGUUAGCUUGGCCAUAAGUAUGGCAGACAGGUUCCAAAGUAAUCCAGGGGUGGAUCACUGGAUAGCGGUCAAGAAUAUUCUGAAGUACGUGAAAAGGACUAAGAAAAAUUUUCUCGUAUAUGGAGGUGACACAGAGAUCGUCGUAAAGGGUUACGUCGACGCAAGCUUUGACACUGAUCUGGAUGACUCUAAGUCUCAAACCGGAUACAUAUUUAUUCGUAAUGAGGGUGCGGUAAGCUGGUGCAAUUCCAAGCAAAGCGUUGUAGCAGAUUAUACAUGUGAAGCGGAGUACAUGGCUGCCUCAGAGGCAGCUAAGGAGGGUGUUUGGAUGAAGCAGUUCAUGACGGAUCUUGGAGUUGCGCCGAGCGUGCUAAAUCCAAUAACUCUAUUCAGUGACAACAAUGGUGCCAUUGCUUUAGCAAAGGAACCAAGGUUUCACAAGAAGACCAGGCAUAUCAAACGAAGCUUCAACCUCAUCCAUGACUACGUCGAAGGAGAGGACAUAAAUAUUUGCAAAGUGCACACGGAUCUGAAUGUAGCAGAUCUACUGCCUAAACCUCUUCCACGGACAAAACAUGAUCAACACCAAAACUGUAUGGGUGUUAGAUUUAUUACAAUGUAAAUCGCAUGACGAUGUGAGGACUAGAUUAUUGACUCUAGUGCAAGUGGGAGAAUGUUGAAAAUAUGCCCCACAGGCAAUGAUAAAAUAGUAUCAUUAUAUUUCCUGUUUCAAGAUAAUCGUUUAUUAUCCAUGCUAUAAUUGUAUUGAAUGAAAACCUAGAUACAUGUGUGGAUACAUAGACAAAACAAUGUCGCUAGCAAGCCUCUAGUUGGCUAGCCAGUUGAUCAAGGAUAGUCAAGGUUUUCUGACUAUGUGCAAGUGUUGUCGGUGAAUACUCACAAGAUAUGCCAUAGGUAGGCUAAAGUCGGUGAGAACCGAAGGGACAAAGGUGGACGCUGGGAACGAGGUUGGUACACGCAUGGGACGCACGAUGUACCCAGGUUCAGGGCUCUCCGUAGAAAUAAUACCACUAAUGCUGCCGGAGUGCUUGAUGUGUAUGAACAGAGUACAAUGUUGCUCCUGGAGCUGUGUUGGGAGGAGGAAGAGGGGAGCAGCCGGCUCGUCUCUACCUCUCUCUCCGUGGUUGGUGAGCGUGUACACUACAAGGAAUAUGCUAGUACAUGACGCUAUUUUUUCGUCGCUACAUCGUCACGGUUUUUCAUUUACGACGAUCGCACGACGAAAAACCAAGCGUCGAAAACAGAGCGUCAGAAAUGAACAGCAACGACGUUUUGGUCAAAAUCGUCGUAACUUUACGACGAUUCGUGGAUUGUCGUAACCUUUACGACGAUCCUAAAUCAUCGCUGACAAUCAAACCCAGUCCUACGUGGCAGUCCUACGUGGCAAAAUUACGACGAAAUCAAAACGUCAUGGCUGAAAUCAGCCCAACCCAUUUCAAUUGAUCACAUGGGCUCGUUUUAUUUUUUUUGGGCUUUUCUUAUUGGGCUUCUUUUGGGCCUUAGCCCAUUUAUAGACACUUUUAGUUUUUCUUUUUCAAAUUUUUUAUUUCGGCCCUGGCCUUUUAGUGCCCAAAUACAUUUGGUCCAUUUUCAGUUUUGGCCUUUUUUUCAUUUUUGAAUUCAGCAACUUUUUUUCCAGAACUUGGUUUCAUUUUUAUUUAUUGGACCUUUAUAACCAAUUAUUUGUCCAAUAUUAAAUGCAGCACUAUUUCGUAUUCAAAUCAAGAAAACUUCAAGUCGAAUUAAAAUCAUCCAUCAUAUAACAUCACAUAAUACAUCUCCCAGGUUUACAUAACACAAUAACUCAUCUCAUGAAUACAUUUCCUUACACAUGAAAAUAGCAAGAACGGACAGAAUUGUACAAUAGAACAAUGGCACAUCUGCUACUAUCACAACAGUACAAUGGACUUCAUUCCACUCUCCUAUGAGACAUGCUCGAGAUGCGACAACUUGUCAUCCUACAAGAACAUUACACUGCACAUGAAUAAAUCAAAAGGAAAUAAAUAUAAAAAAUAUAAGAAAUAAAAAAAGAUUUGUGUUCAUCCUGAAGAUGAUGUUAAAAGAAAUGCAAAUGAAAGACGGAGUAAAUCACAUUAAUAUUUUGACACUACGCACAACAAGUAUUUAGGAACAGAGGGAGUAAAUCAUUAUAAAGCAUAGCAUUGCAUGAAAAACAGAAGCAGAAAUUGUUGUUGACCGAUUAGGCACAGAAGUAAUCAUACUUUAGGAUUAAAAAGUGUGUGAAGAUGACAAGCAACAGUCUUCUUACAAAUAUAGUGACAUUUAUGUUACAUUGUUCUCUCAUGAAGAUGAUUUCUUAAGAACUAUAACAUGUGCAACUAAGCAUAUCAAGCAUGAGUACUUGACUGUAAACUGUCGUCAUAACCACAUACCAGAGCAGCAAAGCAGAAUAUCAAUGGAAAGGCGCAAGCAAACAUCAUGAUCAUCCCAAACUGAAGAGCUAGUUCAAGAAAAUCUGCAACAGAUUCAACACCAUAAGAACAAAUGGCAUUGUCUUUGAAGAAUACAAAAUGCCAUUUUUAGAUCAGCAAAAGUGACACAGACUACAUAUAAACCAAAUAAUAUGCAAACUACCAUAGCAACUGAGUACGGCAACUACUUAUUGUUAUUACCAUCAAACAGACCAUCUUCGAGCUCUGCUCCAAUGCUUGCAGUAUAAGAGAGUUUUUAAAUAUUCUUUCUCCACUCUUGUUGAUAAUCGAACUGACUUCCCUGAUGGUGAUUCUCUCUCUUGUCUUUUCUUGCUACAAAAUGAUAGGGGUUUCUUACAUUCUUCUAUUGGCCUGGAAAUAAGAAUAGCAGGAGUGCAGGACAAAGAAUACACAGGCAAAACUUACCGAACAACUUUGUACUUUUUGUAGGAGGUAAUAGCACCAGGGAUACUACAACUUGCAUACAAUGUGAUGGUUGAAUCCUACAACUUGAAAAAUGACCCUACCCAGUCACAGAACUUGCAUCCAAUGUGCAAACCCAGUCCAAAGUUACCACCGGCCAAUAGCAGCGUGCCAACUGGACAGGGCGGGCCAGCUCAUGGCACUUUUCACCUAGCCCCCUCCAGUUCAUGAGAAUUAUCUAGCCCAUAAACAUAUGCAUUCAUGUCAAAUAGACUAGCAAAUCGAUUAACACUCCGGUGAACAAGAUCAAAAUCAAGAUAGAUACUAAUUCAGGUCGUUCCACGGCCGCAUAGGUCUUCAACAUACACCUUGAUGGAUCUUUUCUGUCAGCAGCCUGUGUAAAACAAUUGGCAAUUAUCAAAACAAGGCCAAAAAUAGGUCCUCCUCUCUUCAUGUAUGAAUAUAUGGUCAAUUAGUUCUUGAUGUUCUACAUUGGAGUAUACUACUCGUUAGRCWAAAVUUAACAGAAUAGGAAAAUGAAUAUUUUUGAAUUAUUUUUGAACUAUGGAAGGGAGGGUUUUCACAUAUUUGAGGAAUAUAUAGUCCAAAGUAUUUAUGAUAAUUUUUUCGAGAAUUUUCAGAAUGAUAGAAUAGUAGGUUGCUUCACAAACUAGGAUCAGGUGGGAUAGAAUGGACCCACGAGUGACAUGUCAACAUAGUUAGAACAUGUUACGACAUUUUUACAAUCGUCGUAAAAGUUAUGACGAUCUCAUCUUAUGCGGUUAUGAUGUUUUGACUCACAUCGUCGUAAUUUAUAUGUAGAUUUGAUCCCCUCAAACGGUUUACGACGAUCUCGGAUGAAAUUGUCAUAGAUUUAUGACGAAUUCAUCAACGACAUUUUAAAAAACAUCGCAUAUGAGCAUAUUUCUUGUAGUGGUAGUGUUGUAUGACUGGUGAAUGAUCGGUCCCCCUUGCAUGGAGGGCGACCGGGGGGUUUUAUAGACGAACCCGCCGGCCUACAAUAUGGAUAAAGGGUACAAGUGUGGGACCCGGCCGGCGGCCUCGCCGGCUGGUCGGGGGCCCACAAGAGUCUUGUCUUGUCGCUUGAGGGGCCCGCCGGCUGCAUGGUCUCAAUUAUGCGUGGGACCCGCCGGCUGGCCAAUGAGGCUCUCGCGUAAGGUUGACGCCGAGCACGCCGCGUCGGAGGUGAAGAGCACCGUGUGCGACAGCACGUUCUUGUAGUACUGCCUGUCCAGGUCAUUCGGGGUCACCACGUCCUGCAUCACUGUGGGGUCAUUGCCGCCCGGGGCCGCAUCAGCGGGGCAUUGGUCACGCAGGAACGCGGCGAGGCCGCCGUUGAUGUCGGAGGGGGCGUUGAGGCGGUCAGGCACAAAGGAGGAGCAGUGGGAGCGACCGAUGGUGUGCGCUCCGGACAGGAUGACCAGGUCCUCCGCGUCCAGGCCCUUGACGACGAAGCUAUCGACGAGGUCGCUGAGGUUGGACGUGGGCGGGGCGAGAAACUUGAGGGGCUCGGAGGCGUUGGAGAAGGUGCCGUCACGGCGGCCCGAUGGCACCUCGAAGUGUACCUUGCCGGCGCUGAGGAUGCAGGACGCAUCGCGGGCCGCGAAGCGAUGAUGUCCGCGCAGGACACGGUGCCCGGACAGGCCACCUCAAGGGCUUCUUUAAUGGCGUCGAUCAGCUCAAAGCCGCGCAGCGACGGGUUGUUUGGCGGGCUGAGCUUCUCCGGCGUCGGGCUGAACGGGGUAGGAUCCAGGAGAACCGAAGCGUCACAGCCCUAAUAAGGUGAUCACCGACGACAGACUCGACAAAAUCAAUCAUCUAUAUAUCAAAGUACGUAUAACAUACAUGUUUGCAUUGCAAUUUAUUUCUUGCAAUGUACCUCGACGAAACAGUCGUGGAAGAGCAUUCGGAUCAUGGCGGCGCCAUUGCCGGGGUUCUGGGAGAUGGCCUCCAUCAUGACGCCCUUGACGACGGCCUCCGCCUGGGGGCACCUGUCGUGGUAGAACCCGAUCUGCAGAGGGCUGGCCCGGCACCCCACAGCGAGCAGCAGCAGCAAGGCACACGCCACCAGAACCUGCAGCUUCUUAACAGCAGCAGCCGCCAUUGUUUCAAGAUAGCUCGACUUCUUGACUAAGAUUGAAAGAUGGGAAGUGGGAGGUGAUGGAUCGAUGGGUUGGGGAAUGCCUGUUAGCUGCUGUAUAUAGUUUCAGCAUGAUGCUGCUUAUAUAGGUGAACAUUCGAACUUUCGAAACGUAUGUUGUGACGUAUGUUGCUUAUUUACGUAUGUUGUGCCAUGCAUGUGCUUCGUUGGAACGUUACUACGUACACCGGCCGGUAGUUGCCAUCAGCACUCGUCGACGUCCAGUUCGCAGUGGCACCGGGAAUUAAUCAGAGGCCGGUGGUAAUGAAUGGUUUGAUACAUAAAUAGCCCUGAUGGCCAGUUCCCUAACCUUGACAUUUUUAGAAGAUGAGCUCACUAGCCCUGAUGGUUACAUGCGGUUGACUUGACUCUUACGUAUGAAUUGGCCAUGUAUAAGCUGGAGUGGAGCUAGCUAUUUUAUAGCAGUAUAGUUGCUAGAUCAAGCAACUGGUUGAUGUGCUCACCAGUGGCAGAUGGGGACGUAUGUUUUUCUGGCUGUUGAGAGGUCAGGUUAGGUAAUAUAAGAACAUUUCCUUUGUGACCUUUCUCUGUGUGUGCGCUUCGGUGUCUCAAAUCCUUUAGGGCCUGCUUGGUUCAUCGUUUUGAACCCCAAAACACUUGUAAAAUAUACUCCUGUGAAAAAAAUACGGAUGGGCCGAUUGGUACGUCGUUUUUGGGCCGUAACUUUUACACUUGUUUUCUGGUUUACAUCCGUAACACGCCGGUAUUCGACACAGACCGAUCCCCAUCGUUUUCCCCCACCGUCUCGCUCGAAACCCUAUCCAGCUCGCUGCGCCGCCGGUGGGCGCCGGCGCAGGUGUCCGCGAGGCCCGAGGACAGCGAGGGCGGCGAGGCCCGAGGACAGAGAGGCGGCGAGUCGGCGAGGCCUGACAACAGUUAGGCGGCGAGUCGGCGCGGCGCGACUACAGCGAGGCGGCGCGGCGCGACUACAGCGAGGCGGCGCGGCGCGACUACAUCAUCUCCUCCUCCUCAACGGCCUCCUCUGCCGACGGUAUGUUGUUGCUGGAGACUGGAGAUUUGUUCCUUUUGAUACUUGUUGCUGCCUAUGAUUUGUGAAAGCCAUGAUGCAAUUUAGUUAGAACUCAUAUGGCGUGCUUUUCUAUGAUGCAAUUUGGUUAGAAGUUCAGAGCAUGGUGUUUAACUAUCGAUUGUAGCACUGUUGCCCAGAGCAAGAAAUGCCCAGAGCACGAAAAGCUUUCUCCUCUUUAGUUGGUUUUUUAUGGAUGACAGUCGCGAAAUUCCCUUUGUGGAUGACAGUCGUGAAAUCCCCUUUGUGGAUGGAUUCAGUCCAAGUUCCACCAAAGAAUUAGUAGUAUAAAUUUAUUUACUUGGGCAUGUGAUUGAUUUGGUGCAGAUCACUCUUGUGGACCGACUCGCUGCUGCUGAUUGGUGUGUCUAACGUAUUGUUUGCUAAAAUGCUAAUUUGAUUAAAUUGUUGUACUAAUUGCUGCUUUAGCAGACAUAACAUGUUCAACUUUUGUUCGUAUGUUACUAGUUAUAUAUAGCUAUCUAGUUAUCUAACUUCUGUCCAUUUUUGCAUUUUGAUACAUCUACUAAAUAUAAGAUAUAUAAUUGCGGCACCUAUUGUUGCUACUAUUUAUUUUGUAAUCUCUUCUCGCUAGAUAAUGGAUACGAGUAACCAUGAUGAUGGAUAUGAGUCAUGUACUGAUUCUGAAGAAGAGGAGGAGGAGGAGAUGAUGUUUCUUGUCUUCCCAACAUUAUAUUGUAUAUCUUUUAGGAGAGAAAAAAUUACCAAUGAACACAUCCAUUCUUACGGGAGCUAAGUAUAUCCGAGAAAUAUUGGAUCGGCCACCCUCAACGGUGCCUUGAUAUUCUUAGGAUGGAAUCCCACAUCUUCCAAGCUCUAUGCGACCAUCUUAGAUCUAGAAAACUUCUACGAAAUUCAAAAUGAGUUAGCGUUGAAGAGCAACUAGGGAUGUUUAUGUACAUGCUUUCCAGGAAUGCGAGUUAUCGUACGCUGACUGAUAGAUUUCAGCACAGUCCGGAAAUGGUGCAUAGACAUAUCAAUGGAUGCUUCAACGCUAUGAGUUCAUUGGCGUUUGACUUUAUCAAGCAUGGUUCGCUAGAUACUCAUUGAAAAAUAUCAACAAAUCCCCAGUUUUGGCCUUUCUUUGAGGUACACGCCAUCCCUUGAUAUGUACUUUAGGAUUUAUAUCAUCCCUUAGUAUCACAUAUAGUGACCAUAACUUGUUUAAUGCAGAACUGCAUAGGGGCAAUAGAUGGGACUCAUGUUCCCAUGACCAUAGCAUCCAAUGAGGCUGCUCCAUACAGGAAUAGAAAGGGGACCCUCUCCCAAAAUGUGAUGGUCGCCUGUGACUUCGAUCUCAACUUUGUUUAUGUAUCAGCUGGUUGGGAGGGGUCUGCCUCAGAUGCUGGAGUACUGAAAUCUGCCAUUCAAUCUGGUUUUCAUGUACCUCCGGGCAAGUACUAUUUGGUUGACGGAGGUUACGCAAAUACGCCACAGUUUCUAGCUCCGUACCGUGGAGUCCGUUAUCAUCUACAAGAUUUUGGUAGAGGUGGUCCUCGUCCAAAGAAUCCGAAAGAACUUUUCAAUCUAAGGCAUGCCCGCCUACGGAACCAUAUAGAGCGCACGAUUGGUGUCUGGAAAAUGCGAUUCCCUAUUUUAAAAGUUGGCACACAUUACCCAAUUGACACUCAAGUCAAAAUUCCUAUGGCGGCAGCAGUAUUUCACAACAUAAUCCGGAGUCACAGAGGUGAUGAACAAUGGCUAGAUACACAAGAAAUGCAGAUUGAUCCUCUUUUAUUUGUCACUCUUCCUGAUGGAGAUGACAGACCUCGACAUGUGACUACACCCUCAAGCAAUCAAAGGGACCUUGGUAAUUCCAUGAGAGAUGAAAUUGCCAACAGGAUGUGGACGGACUAUCAAAGAAUUCUAAGAGAAAGAUCAUCACGGAGAUCUGUUGGCUAAUGAAUUUAGUUUUUAUUUCUAUCAAAGUAAUUUAUUGUAAUGAUGUGGAAUUUGAGAUAUAAUAUAACAUUGUAGUUAUGUUAUUAGGAUUUUGCAUUUUCAGAUUCUUACUUGAUGUGAUUUUGCAUUUUGAGAUUCUUAUAUUUCUUAAUGUUUGAGUUAUGUUGCUUGAUGUUGAUUUAUUGCUAAAGUUACAUUGUCAUAGGUUCAAUAUGACGCAAAAUAGGGCUAAGUGGACAGCAAGAUAUGAGAAAGGUCUUGUUGAGAUACUUACAGAGUACAAUCUAUCUCAUUAUCGUGGCCAAAAUGGGUGGACUACUGAAGGAUGGAAUCAAGUUGUUAAAGAAUUGAACAAUUUAUAUCCAGAGGCAAGAUUUACCAAGGAUCAGGUCCAGGAUAAGGAAGCUCAACUGAAGAAGCACUACAAAAAUAUCAAGUCCAUAGUCAACCGUUCUGGAAUAUCGUGGAAUGAUGUUGCAUGUGUGAUUAACACAACACCUGAAAAAUGGGAGGAGAUCAUUGCGGUAAGUUUUUAUUCCUUGUAGUGCAUGUACUUUCCUUUGCCUAUGCAUGAUUUGCUCAACCUUUCUAUUGAUUAUAUAGGAGGAUUCAAAGCUCAAAAUGUAUGAAGGAAAAAGUUUCCCCUUGUAUGAGGCAUUGGGUGUGCUCUAUGAAGGGCACAUUGCUCAAGGAAGGCAUUGUCUCACAUCAAGGAAGCCUCCGACUAUCACAAAAUCAGGUAGCAACUUUGGAGCAAAGGAGAAGAUGGUUGCCAGCACCAGCAAGAGAAAUACAAGAGAUCGAAGCGAUGACAACAUGAGGACUCCUUCGAUAAUUCACAUCAAUGAUAUUCCUGCAUGGGAUGAUGUUGAUGGAGAUGCUGAAAGAGAAAACACUGUCCGUGACGAGGAAGAUUUUGGCAGUGAUGCUGAUGGAGACCAUCCACAAAUAAGUGAAUCAAGUGCCAAAGGAAGGAAACCCAAAAAACGGAGAAGUGCCACAUCUGUACAACGCCUUGAAGAUUCAAUGAUGGCGUAUGUGAAUUUCAAGAAAGAGCAAGCUACUAAGAAGGAGAGAGUGUCACAACAAGGGAAACAACCCUCAAUUACAGAAUGCAUGGAAAUCUUGAAUGAUAUGGAAGAUGUGCCCGACGAGGUGAAAAUCUUUGCCUCUGAUGUUUUCAAAGAUGCAGCAAACCGUGAGAUUUUCCUGGGUUACAACUCAAGACUACGGGGUAUGUGGUUAAAGAAGGAAGUCGACAAGAUCAGUCAUCAGCCUCCUCCUUGUAAGUCCCAUAAAACUUGGUUUUCUGCAUUUAUUCUCCCCAUUAAAGAUAAGUUUCCAAGGCUUAUUUGAGCGAGUAUUCCUUUGCAGCUCGGUUUUCACCUGGCGAUAUUCCUUCAAUUAAUCGGGUGCUUUGAUCAUAGGUAUUGUCCUUGCUCCCUCUCCUCUCAAAGAUGCUCAUGCCUAUACUAAUGAACCGGUUGGACGAGAGCGCGAGCAUGAUCUUUAAUCAGUACUACGUCACAUUCUGAAAGAACCUUGUGAAGUUCAGGUUGCUAGUAGUUCAGCCAUUUCUGUUAUCUAAUUUCCGAAGUUUACUGCAUCGGCAUGAGCAGGUUAACUUGGUUGUUAAUGUACUUCACAUGACUGUGAGGUAGACAAAUGUUCAUUUACCCUACCAUGUGUUAAGUAACGGACCUUCAGUUUCCUAUUUCAAAUUAGAUCAAUAUAUUGUUAACGAACUUUGUUGUUUCGAACCACUUUUUCUUCCUAGAACCGAAUUUGUUUUGCAUAUAUGUCUAUCUGAAAUUAGUUUGUUUGAUUUUGUUGUCCUUCUCUUAAUGUUUUGCGGGUAUUUUUUAUAUCCUAGACUCGGCAGCUAGCUCAAAACUGUGCAAAAGUUGGCCACUGGCCUGUACUACUAGACAAUCUGUGCUAUGCGUACAAGUAUCUUUUGUAGGGUUGUGAAACAUAUAAGCACUGAAUUUUGUUUCUUACUGUCAAGAAUUUAAGAUGGCAAUUUGUGUGGUGGACUGCAUGCCAGCACUUCAUGUUCCGUUUAUCUACAGGCAUUUUCCGUUUAAUUGUUUUAUUGUUGCAGUGGCACUUUCAUUGUCAAGCUAUAUUUGCAUUGGUUCUGUGUAUACUGAACUUGAAUGGCAUGUGCAAAGUCGAGAUCGUCAUGGCCUUUGAGGAAGAGUUCAGCUUCGAAAUCCCCGACAAUGAGGCAGAGAAGAUCGAUUCCAUCAAAUCAGCAGUUGACUUCAUCGCAUCGCAUCCUCAAGCAAAGUAAGAUUUGCUUGCAGGAGUUUCUUGGUUCCUCCUUUGACUUACGCAUUGUCUCGAGGAUGAAUGCAACCGAAAAAAGACCUGUUUUUCUGUAUUUGCCCAGUUGGUGAGAAUGGUCUUAGUUUGCUCCGUUGAUUUUUGGCAAGUCCUUGUUUUCUCCCCCCAUCUACUGCAAUAAAUAAUGAUACACCAUUUGGCUGUGGAUCUGUGAUUUUAUUUGCUGGAGGUAACAGCACGACAGAGUUGUGAUGCUGGAUGUGCGCGUGUGCCAUGGCUCAUGCUAAUUUGUGGGGAAUGGGAACUCAAAUUUAUGGAAGUACAGUCAGUACGAAUGAUCUGAAUUUGCAAUGUUACCACUGUACCUAAAAGUUUGUGCUUUUGAAAAUUUAGGCUAUGGCAGCCAGGUUACAAGGGUGGUAGAAAAACAACAAUCCAAACAGAAGCUGGGGAAGCGGAAUGGAAAUACAAUCCUGACAUAUAUUCUGAUUGUAGGCUAGUAUAAUACAAGUGUAAAAUAUUACAAGUGUAGCAAAAAAAACAACGUUCCAAACGCAGUCUUAGCGUUUCUACUUGAGUAAAAGGAACUAGCGCCCUGAAAACUUGUGUUGCGUCUCCACUUAAGUCGCACUACCACUAGUAAAAAAGAAGGCUUUGGUUCACUUGAUGAAAUUCCAUUAGUCCCGAUUCACUCACAAACCGGGAUCUAUGGGGGCAUCGGCCCCGGUUCAUGAGGCAAGGGCGCCGGCCAGGCCUCGUGUGCCAUUGGUCCCGGUUCGUAUGACCCAUUUGGUCCCGGUUCCAGAGAUGAACCGGGACCAGUCUGCCUCGCUCCUGGCUCACAACCAUUAGUCCCGGUUUGUGGCUGGAACCGGGAACAAAUGUUGAACUUUAGUCUCGGUUCCAGCCCCAAACCGGGACCAAUGGUUGGCCUAUAUAUACUUCCUUCCCGUGAGCAGAGCAGUGCACUGCUCUGUUUUUUUGCCCGGUCGUGGGAGAGCUUUCUGGUGCUCUAGCUCACCUCCUAUGCACAUGAGGUGUUCGAUGAAAUGUCCGAGCCACACUUAAGCUUUCUCCUCUCGAAUCUCCUUGUCGAAACUCCAUUUUCCUCAAGUUUUGUGUAGCUUCCGCGGUCAGUCCUGUCCCGUCCCCGUCCUCACCGCCGUCGAUCACCCGCGCCCAUCUAGGCACCGGCACCACCGUGGUUAGUCUCUUCUUCUUAUCUUUUUUCUAAAAGAAAAAAGUUCUUACUUUUAUGAUUUAGAUAGAUAUUUAUGUAAUUUUCUUACUUUUAUUAUUGUUUGUUACUAUAUAGUGUGAUGGUUUUGGUGUCCGCCUCCAUCGGUCCUCGUCCUGUCUAUGAUUCAGAUGUGGUAUAUAUUAUCUUUUAUAACUAUUUGUUUUAUUUAGUGUUUAUGACAAUUAUGCCGACCAACGUGACAUAGAUUUUUUUUUAAUCUACGAGGUAUGUGAACGGGAAAUUUGAACUGGCAUAGAAAUUCUUGCCAAGAAAUUGAAUUUGUUGAAAAAAGAAAAAAAAUAACUCGAAAGAAAAAUUACAAAGAGUUGAGGAGGAGAAGAUGAUAUUGGAGUUGGAUGUUGCCGAUGGACGUGACGAUCACAAGAUGAAGAUGGAUGCAAUGCGCUUGAAGACUAGAAAGAAUAGAAAAUAUGACAUUCAUACUGAGGCUUGGUAUCAUUAUUUGGAUCAAUUGGUACCUUAGUUGUGGUUAUGAUCGCAUUUGUUGUUGCAUUUAAAUUUUAUAGUUUUAAUGUAUGUUCUAAUUAGAUGCUCUAGAGAACUAUAUGUUGUUCAAUAAUGAGAACUAUGUAUGAACGUUAUGUAUUUAUUUUGGUCACUACUAUAUUUUUGGCUUUAAUGUGAUGAUGAAUUUCUAUUAAUUUGGUCACUUUUCUAUUCAUGAUAUGUUGUAAUGGUUUUUAAUACACUUUAUUAUAUAACACACAAAGAUGAACCGACAAUGGAUGUACGACGCACCUCCGAGUAUAUUAAGGGCGUGCAAAAUUUUCUCGAAGCGGCUAAGGCAAACAAGCAGAAUGAUUUUAUGCAUUGUCCAUGUACUGUUUGUGGGAAUACGAAGUCUUUCUCCGACUAUAAAACCCUUCACUUCCACCUGCUUCAAUAGGGUUUUAUGCCACACUAUAAUGUUUCGACCAAGCACGGAGAAAUAGGGGUUAUGAUGGAAGACAAUGUAAAAGAAGAGGAUGAUGACAACUACCCGCCCCCUGAAUACGGUGAUGCUGCAAUGGGGGAAGCUGACGAUCAAGAGGAACCAGACGAUGUGCCCGAUGAUGUUCUUCGUCGCGUCAUUGUUGAUACACAUAGAGAAUGCGAAAGUGAAAGGGACAUGUUGAAGUUCGAUCGCAUGUUAGAGGAUCACAAAAAAGGGUUGUACCCAAAUUGCGAUGAUGACAACACAAAGCUUGAUACCACACUGUAAUUAUUGCAAUGGAAGGCAGACAAUGGUGUAUCUAACAAGAGAUUUAGUUCGCUACUGAAAUAAUGAAGAAGAAGCUUCCAAAGGAUAACGAAUUGUCCGGCAGUACGUACGAAGCAAAGAAAAUUCUAUGCCCUCUAGGAUUGGAGGUGCAGAAGAUACAUGCAUGCCCUAAUGAUUGCAUCCUCUACCGCGGUGUGUACGAGGAUUUGAACGGAUGCCCGGUAUGCGGCGCAUUACGGUAUAAGAUCAGAAGAGAUGAUCGUGGUGAUGUUGAGGGACAGCGCACCGGGAAGAUGGUUCCUGCCAAGGCGCUCUGAAAACUUGUGUGUGCAUGUGCACUUAACUCGGCACUACACGCAAACCGAAAAAACCCAUCAUAAAACUUGUGUUGCGGGUGCAUAUAAGUCACACUGGCCAUUUGGACCGGUCUGCCGCCUGGUUCGGAGGUCACGUGUGGGGGUAGUUUUUUUUUUUUUGCACAAAAGACACUCUUUUCUUUGCUAAUCAAAUGGUGACGUCCCUGCCUACUUUGACUGCCGUUUCUCUUUGUUUGCCGAUGGGUGACGUGAGGAGUGGUGUUGCAGGUGUGUCGAGCUCGUCGGCGGCAAGUGUACCGGCGAAGAUGACUGAGAUGUAGCCAAAGUUGAGGACAAAAGAGGAUGGACGCCCGACCAACGGUUAGCCCUCUGUCUUCACCCCUCCCCCUAAUAGCUAGGGUUAUCCGCUUACGCUGUCAGAUUAUAGGUAGAUUAGGUCUACCUGAGAAACGAGCAGGAGCACUCUCUUUUCAUAUAAAAAGCAGUAAUAGUAAUAAGUAUGGACGCACAUUCUUUCACUUAAGCACAUUACACAGUUCUACAAAAUUUUACUUUGAUGGCUCCGUAUAUCUAGGAACACUUGAAUAUUAUAUGGUCCAAGAACCCGGAGCAGUCUAACUCCUCGAUUAAACGUAGGAACACUUGAAUAUUAUAUGGUCCAAGAACCCGGAGCAGUCUAACUCCUCGAUUAAACGUAAACACAUUACGACUUUUGGCAGUUUGUUGCAAAUACAUUCGGUUGACUUGACUUAUGUACGUAUGAAUUGGCCAUGUAUAAGCUGGAGUGGAGCUAGCAAUUUUGUAGUAGUAUAGUUCCUAGAUCAAGAAACUGAUUGAUGUGCUCACCACUGGCAGAUGGGGACGUAUAUUUUGCUGGCUGUUGAGAGGUCAGGUUAGGUAAUAUGAGAACAUUUCCUUUAUUUCCUUUGUGACCUUUGUGUGUGUGUGUGUUUCGGUGUCUCAAAUCUUUUAGCGUUUCUACACGAGUAAAAGGCGCACUGGCACUUUAAAAAGUUGUGUUGCGUAUGCACUUAAGUCGUACUAUACGCAGACCGGAAAAACCCUCAUAAAACUUUUGUUGUGGGUGCAUAUAGGUUACACUGGCCAUUUGGACCGGACUGUCGCCUGGUUCAGAGGUCACGCGAGGCACACAUGUCACGUGUGGGGGUAGUUUUUUUUUGCACAAAAGACACUCUUUUCUUUGCUAAUCACAUGGUGACGUCCCUACCUAUUUUACCGCCGUUUCCUUUGUUUGCCGAUGGGUGAGGCGACGAGCGGUGUUGCGGGUGUGUCGAGCUCGUCAGCGGCAAGUGUACUGGCGAAGAUGACUGAGAUGUAGCCAAAAUUAAGGACAUAAGAGGAUGGACGCCUGACCUACCGUUAGCCCUCUGUCUCCUUCCCUCCCCCUAAUAGCUUGGGUUAUCCGCUUACGCUGCCAGAUUAGGUAGAUUAGGUCUACGACGAUUGGCUCCCCCCCUAAUAGCUAGGUCUCCGAUAGAUUUGGUAGUGAAUUAGUUUUUCUUGUAGGAUUGUACCCAAUCUUAUGUUUCAUCUGCCGAUUGCUUGCUAGGGUUAGUGAAUUGAUCAUAAAUUUUGCAAUAUAGGUUCAGAUUUAGGAAAAUUCAGUAUAGAGAUGCAUCAUGGUGGCUUCUUCACAGGAAAAGGAAUUAAUUUGGCAUAUUUGGAUGAAAAAGUAUCCGUGUUUGAUAACCUUGUUAGGAACACUUUCUGCAAUGAUAUGAUUGACUAUAUGUUGUGGCAAUUGAAAUAUCCACCUGGUGAGUUAGAUAUGGUGUUCUGGUACCCACCAGGUAAAACACUAGGAGAAUGGGACCCAAUUAAUUUUUAAGGAGAGGUGUUUGUUUUGUUUGUGAAGCAUGUGAAACAAGUGAGAUUGAAAAAUUGGAAUAGGAGGAAGAUGACAUUGCUUAUAGGGUUGGCCCUGCAUUGCCUCCGAUAUCUCCGGCGAUGAGGAGUAGCUUGUCUUAUUAGCUCACUAUAAGGAUCUAUGUUCAGUUAGCUAGCUACCGGUUAAUCAUGUUCGGUUUACCCGUUGCAUGUGCUUCUCCUGUCUUUCCUUAACAAAUUGUAGUGAAUUAUCCUAUGUAUUUUUACCAUGCAAUCUGAUCCUAGUGUAUAUGUUAUAUAUGUCAUGAAAUGUGGUGCUCACUUAUUAACUGUUUGGUUAAUUUAUUGUCGUGUUCACUUAACGGUUUGGUUCAGUUAUGCAAUGUGAUGUUCAAUUCUUCUGGGUGCAAUUUUGUUUUGUCUUCUAUAUGUGAGAUAAACUGAAUUUGGUUGUACAAAUUACAUGAGAAACAGAUACAAUUGCUAUAUAUACAAGUUGUCAAGCAUGCUUCAUUUGGUUAACUGUCUCAUCUUCUAGUAUGUUAUACAUUGUACAAUGUUGUGGGUACAAUUUUAUAUUGUUAUGCAUCUGAGGAAUAAAUUAAAUUUGGUUGCACUUAAUACAUGAGAAACAUAUACAAUUGCUAUAUUUCUUAGUUGUUAAUCAUGUUUGGUUUGGAUAAAUGGCUUUUACAUGUGGCUCGAAUUAAUUUGCUAAAUCUGCAAUGUGUUCAUUUUUAAUCAACAUAUUUUGCUGAUAGCAUGUCAACCCUCACUUAACCUGAUCAAUAACUACCUUAUAUGUGUUGCAGGGAAACAAUUGAAAGCACUGAGGUUUACAAUCGAUGUUUGCACAUGCAUGAUCCUUUUGUCUAAUAGUAGCACAUUAUUGUGCAAUUGCAAAAGCCAUUCAAAUAUUUAGGUUUUUAACAAUUUGGUGUUGCACAUGUAGGCCCUCCUGUUAGAGGUUUUGACCCACUGUUCGACCCUUUUUGCAUAUAGGGAACGAGUUGUUCAUGAAUAUCAGUCAAGUCAAGAAAGUCAGAAAGAUUGUUAGGAUAAAGAAACUAGCAACAAAAAAUAACAAGGUCUUCAUCUGCAUAAUGAAGAAGACAUCAGUGCACUACACGACGGUACUAACUAUUAUACCUUGUCCUUUUUAUUCCUUUGCGCCAUUUCAAAUCCAAAGAAGAUAUUUAUGCAUAUCCUUGUUUUCAGACCUUUUCAAAGAAGUUCACUAAUGAUUACCUGUCAAAUCACCUGUAUGGUCAAGAGGCAAGGAAGGUAUUCAUACAAUACCCAGGGUACAAUCUUGAAGUCUUCCUGAAGAGGACAAAGGAUGGACGGUCAAUGAUCCACAGGCACUAGCCUAAAGUUGCAAAGACGUUCAACAUCAAUGAAGGCUCAAUAUUCGCCUUCCACUUCAACAAUUUUCCAAAUGAGAUUCAUGUGUGUAUCUACCAUCUAUGAUGCUAAUUUCCAAAAGUUAUAGAUGUUGCAUGUCAAACAUGGUGCUAGUGCAGUUGUGUAAUGGGGGUUUCUAGCUAUAUGCAUAUACGAUGUAAGUGAGUGCUGAAGCUACAUGAUGUUGUACUCUGAUGUAUUUCAAUUACGAAAUUCUGGUUCUGUAAUACGCUGAAAUAUAUUGUAUGCUUAAUAUGAAGUGUCAAUUUGAUUAAUAAAUGGAUUACUAUAAUAGGCCACUUAUUCUGGUGAUUGAGGUUUUCUAUUGCAAACGGUUAUUGAGAAAACAAUGUGGGCACUUGACUAACACAACACACACGGUUUUUAAGAUGAAAACGUGUUCGAUCAAUGAACAAUCACACAUGCCUUCCUCUUGAUAACUGUUUGCAUUAGGCCACCUUGCGCAAACACUUUCCAUAGAAAGAUUGUGUGUAAUGGACAGCCUAUGCCACAUUGGUCUCAAUGUUAUGUAUAUGUGUAUCAUCGCUAUCAAGGUUCAAUAUGAACAAUUCUCUCACAUUGGGUGUAUGACCAUAAAAUAUAUUACUCAUAGAAAUAGAACAACCAUUAUUAUCUGACUGAAACGAGUAACCGUCUCGCAAUAAACAAGAUCCAGAUAUAAUGUUCAUGCUUAACGCACACACUAAAUAAUAAUUAUUUAAGUUUAUAACUAAUCCUGAUGGUAACUGAAGUGAGACUGUGCCGACGGCGAUUGCAUCAACCUUGGAACCAUUUCCCACGCGCAUUGUCACUUAAUCUUUCGCCAGCCUUUGUUUAUUCCGCAGUUCCUGCUUCAAGUUGCAAAUAUAAGCAACAGAACCGGUAUUGAAUACCCAGGCACUACUACGAGAGUUGGUUAAGUACACAUCAAUAACAUGCAUAUCAAAUAUACCUUAUUUUUCCUUGGCCGCGUUCUUAUCAGCCAAAUACUUGGGGCAGUUGCGCUUCGAGUGACCCAGUCCCUUGCAAUAAUAACACCCUGUUUCAAGCUUAGGUCCAGCCUUGGGUUUCUUCGUCGGAUUGGCAACAGGCUUGCCGCUCUUCUUGGAGUUACCCUUCUUGCAUUUGUCGUUUCUCUUGAAACUAGUGGUCUUAUUGACCAUCAACACUUGAUGCUCUUUCCGGAGUUCUGACUCUGCGACUUUCAGCAUCGCGAAUAACUCGCUGGGUGAAUUGUUCAUCCCUUGCAUGUUAUAGUUUAACACAAAGCUCUUAUAGCUAGGUGGAAGUGAUUGAAGAAUUAUGUCAGUGAUAGCCUCUUGCGGGAGUUCAAUCCCCAGCUCAGCUAGACGGUUUGAGUAAAAGGACAUGUUGAGCACAUGUUCACUGACAGACGAAUUCUCCUCCAUCUUGCAAGCAUAGAAUUUAUCUGAGGUCUCAUACCUCUCGAUCCGGGCGUUCUUCUGAAAGAUAAUUAACUUCAACUCCUGGAACAUCUCAUAUGCUCCAUGACGCUCAAAGCGAUGUUGAAGUCCCGGCUCUAAGCCAUACAAGACUGCAUAUUUAACUACCGAGUAGUCUUCCUUACGUGUUAACCACGAGUUCAAAACAUCUUGGCUAGACGUAGCGGGUGGUUCAUCUCCUAGCGCAGCAUUAAGGACAUAAUCCUUGUUCGCAGCUUGCAGGAGCAUCUUAAGAUUACGAUCCCAGUCUACAAAAUUGCUUCCAUCAUCUUUCAAUUUAGCUUUCUCUAGGAACGUAUUAAAAUUCAGGGUGACUGUUGUGUGAGCCAUUGAUCUACACAACAAAUAUUGCAAAGUGGACUUAGACUACGUUUAAGAUAAUUAGAGUUUAACUAAUCAAAUUACUGAUAAACUCCCACUCAAAAAGUACAUCUCUCUAGUCAUUUGAGUGUUACGUGAUCCAAAUUCACCAACUCAAGUCCGAUCAUCACGUAAGUUGAGAAUAGUGUCAGUGGUAAGCAUCUCUAUGCUAAUCAUAACAACUAUACGAUUCAUGCUCGACCUGUCGCUCUCAUGUGUUCCGAGGCCAUGUUUGCACAUGCUAGGCUCGUCAAGUUUAACCCGAGUGUUCCGCGUGUGCAACUGUUUUGCACCCAUUGUAUGUGAACGUUGAGUCUAUCACACCCGAUCAUCACGUGGUGUCUUGAAACGACGAACUGUCGCAACGGUGCACAGUCGGGGAUAGCACAAUUUCAUCUUGAAAUUUUAGUGAGAGAUCACCUUAUAAUACUACCGUCGUUCUAAUCAAAAUAAGGUGCAUAAAAGGAUUAACAUCACAUGCAAUUCAUAAAUGACAUGACAUGGCCAUCAUCUUGUGCUUCUUGAUCUCCAUCACCAAAGCACCGGGCAUGAUCCUCUUGUCACCGGCGCCACACCAUGAUCUCCAUCAACGUGCCGCCAUCGAGGUUGUCGUGCUAUCUAUGUUGUUACUACUAAAGCUACAACAUAGCAAUAUAGUAAACGCAUCUGCAAACACAAACGUUAGUUUAAAGACAACCCUAUGACUCCUGCCGGUUGCCGUAGCAUCGACGUGCAAGUCGAUAUUAACUAUUACAACAUGAUCAUCUCAUACAUCCAAAAUAUCACAUCACGUCAUUGGCCAUAUCAUAUCACAAGCAUACCCUGCAAAAACAUUUUAGACGUCCCCUAAUUUGUUGUUGCAUGUUUUACGUGACUCCUAUGAGUAUCUAGUAUGAUCGCGUCUUACUUACGCAAAAACCACAAUGGAGAUGUUCAAAUUGCUAUUUAACCUCUCUCCAAGGACCGCAUCGGUCAAAACCAAUUCAACCAAAGUUGAAGAAACGGGCACCCGCCAGUCAUCUUUAUGCAACAAGUUGCAUCUUAGUCGAUGAAACCAAUCUCUCGUAAGCGUACGAGUAAUGUCGGUCCGGGCCGCUUCAAUCCAACAAUACGCCGAAUCGAGAAAAGACUAAGGAGGGCAGCAAAUCGAACAUCAACGUCCACAAAACCUUUUGUGUUCCACUCGAGAUAACAUCUACGCAUGAACCUAGCUCAUGAUACCACUAUUGGGGAAUGUUGCAUGGGAAACAAAAUUUUCCUACGCACACGAAGACCUAUCAUGGUGAUGUCCAUCUACGAGAGGAGAUUAGAUCUACGUACCCUUGUAGAUCGCUAAGCGGGAAGCGUUAAGAAAUGCGGUUGAUGUAGUAGUACAGCUUCGUGAUUCAAAUCACCGUCGUCCCACGAUCCGUUUCGAUCUAGCGCCAAACGGACGGCACCUCCGCGUUCAGCACACGUACAGCUCAAUGACGAUCUCGGCCUUCUUGAUCCAGCAAGAGAGACGAAGAAGUAGAUGAGUUCUCCGGCAGCACACAGCCAGCCCCCUCUGUCACCUAGUUGUCGCCUCGUUUGUUUGGGGCCCCUCCGUCAGGACUUUGCUGAGUUCCUUUACCUCUGGACUCGGCAUCCCAAGGACUUUCUCAUAUUUUGAAUGAUUGUCGAGUUGGUUUUCUUCGUCAGGUUUGUCGUGUUUCAUGCCAUUGCCCAGUUCACUUAGGCAUGUUCUUGGCAAACUGCUAACAUUGCCGUGCUCAUGAUAAAAUACACUCGGCAAACUCCAGGAAAUAUGCAUCUUCGUCAAUUACGGUAUACUACCUUUUUUUUUUUUUUGUAGUAACAGGUAUAUACCAACUGAUUCAGGGAAUCAUGGCAGAGGUUCAGAUGUCAUGUUCAAAACAUCCAAAAUCGCUAUUCAAAACAUGUUACAUGCAUAACUUAUUAAUUUUAUUAUCCCAAAUACAAAGAACAUUGUUUUCCGCAGCCCAUUUACACAUGUACAUUCCAUAUACACAAAUAAUUCCGUUGGCGCAAAUAGAACUAAGAAAUGACAAAUGAAAAGACAAGAAAUGUAGGUGCUAAAAAAAGAAAGUUCGCAUGCAGGAUGAAGCAAAACACUGGACGAUCCUUUGACAUGCAUGCACGUAGACGUACAUGCACGCACUUAAUUGGUACUAGUUGAUUGCGCGGCAGUUCUUCCUGAUCUGUCCCUGGUCACCGGUCUUGACCUCGAUGCCGGCCAUCUUCACCAUGGCCUUCUCGAACCUGUCCUCCCACCAUCCGGGGAUGUUGGCGUUGUCCACCACCAUCCUCGCCGUCUCCUCGGAGGUCAGGAGCGCCGCGUCGGAGGUGAAGAGCACCGUGUGCGACAGCACGUUCUUGUAGUACUGCCUGUCCAGGUCAUUCGGGGUCACCACGUCCUGCAUCACUGUGGGGUCAUUGCCGCCCGGGGCCGCAUCAGCGGGGCAUUGGUCACGCAGGAACGCGGCGAGGCCGCCGUUGAUGUCGGAGGGGGCGUUGAGGCGGUCAGGCACAAAGGAGGAGCAGUGGGAGCGACCGAUGGUGUGCGCUCCGGACAGGAUGACCAGGUCCUCCGCGUCCAGGCCCUUGACGACGAAGCUAUCGACGAGGUCGCUGAGGUUGGACGUGGGCGGGGCGAGAAACUUGAGGGGCUCGGAGGCGUUGGAGAAGGUGCCGUCACGGCGGCCCGAUGGCACCUCGAAGUGUACCUUGCCGGCGUUGAGGAUGCAGGACGCAUCGCGGGCCGCGAAGGCGAUGAUGUCCGCGCAGGACACGGUGCCCGGACAGGCCACCUCAAGGGCUUCUUUAAUGGCGUCGAUCAGCUCAAAGCCGCGCAGCGACGGGUUGUUUGGCGGGCUGAGCUUCUCCGGCGUCGGGCUGAACGGGGUAGGAUCCAGGAGAACCGAAGCGUCACAGCCCUAAUAAGGUGAUCACCGACGACAGACUCGACAAAAUCAAUCAUCUAUAUAUCAAAGUACGUAUAACAUACAUGUUUGCAUUGCAAUUUAUUUCUUGCAAUGUACCUCGACGAAACAGUCGUGGAAGAGCAUUCGGAUCAUGGCGGCGCCAUUGCCGGGGUUCUGGGAGAUGGCCUCCAUCAUGACGCCCUUGACGACGGCCUCCGCCUGGGGGCACCUGUCGUGGUAGAACCCGAUCUGCAGAGGGCUGGCCCGGCACCCCACAGCGAGCAGCAGCAGCAAGGCACACGCCACCAGAACCUGCAGCUUCUUAACAGCAGCAGCCGCCAUUGUUUCAAGAUAGCUCGAGUUCUUGACUAAGAUUGAAAGAUGGGAAGUGGGAGGUGAUGGAUCGAUGGGUUGGGGAAUGCCUGUUAGCUGCUGUAUAUAGUUUCAGCAUGAUGCUGCUUAUAUAGGUGAACAUUCGAACUUUAGAAACGUAUAUUGUCAACUAGAACUGGCCAUGCAUGUGUUUCGUUGGAACGUUACUACGUACACCGGCCGGUAGUUGCCAUCAGCACUCGUCGACGUUCAGUUGGCUGACUGUGCUCCUCACAACCAGUGGGCGCCGGCGAUGAUAUGAUGAUACACGAUGAGUAUAUAGUAAGGAGUAACAAACAUUAGUUCACUUACCCUGAUUUUGUAGAAAAUGAGCUUACUAACCCUGAUGUAUAUAUGUCUGAACAGGUCAUGUGUAAGCUGGACCUGGACUGAGGCUAGCCAUUUUCUAGUAAUAGUAGCUAGAUCAAGCAGCCGCUGAUUGACGGGGAUGCGUGUUUUUCCGGCCGUUGAGAAGUCAUCAAUCAAGUUAAUUAAGAACAUUUCUUUUGUGUCGGUGUGUACGUGUGCUUCGUGUUUCAAAUCCGUAGUGCGAGAAAUUUCCUGGGAGCUAGUAGCUAGGCCACCUUGUUUAACAGGUAGAGCAAGCGUGCAUCAUUAAGUACUAAUUCCUUGGUAGGAACAGCCUAACAGGUAGAAGAUGUGAUGGGUGUAAUCACACGGAAAUUAAUUUAUGUUAUGUUGUGUGGAUUGAAAACAUGACAUUUAAUCUCAGUGAUCAAUGCCAAAUUUUGCAGUUAACCCUUGAUUCAGUGUAAAAUUUUGCAAGAAUACAUAUGAAGUCAACAUAUUCAGUGCAUGCAGAAUACUCGAAUUAACAGUGUGGCCAAAUGUAGUGUAUAGCGUGAAGAGAAAAGAAAGUGAAUAUAUGUCUCAGAUUCAUAUAUAUAUGAAAAAAUAUACAUAUAUAUAGGACGGCCGUUUGAGGCACCUAGAUAUGUAUAUAUAUUAACAUUUAUUGUAUCCUUAUAUAGCAUUUAUUGAUUCCUACAAUAAAUUACUAGGUAUGUACCUCGCCGUGUAUGUACGUAACUUUAUUAGUACGCAUAUGUAUACAUGCACAUGUAUAUAAUUUCGUUAGUAGGUAUUUACAUAUCCGCUUAUGUAUAUUAUUUUUCACUAGCUACAAAUUAUAAUAAAUCAUUGGGUAUAUAUAUACCCGCAUAUGUAUAUUAUUUUAUUAGUAGGUAUAUCAUAUCCACGUAUGUACAUAAUUUCGUUACUAGGUAUACAUAUAUAUCCGCAUACAUAUGUAAUGUUUUGACUAGCUGCAAACCAAAAUAAAUCACUAAAAAUAUAUACCCAUGUAUGUACAUUAUUUCAUAGUUAGGUAUUAUAUACCAAUGGUAUGUCUCUACGAUUUGGAGUCAAUGCCCAAUUUGUUGGUUUUAAACAAUAAUUUUUUUUUCAUGAAUACCUAAUGAAAUAAUCAAGGGAAAAUCUAAUGAGCUUCGUACGCACACAUGCUCUCCCGUGCAGCGGCCGCGCGCAUGUGUUAUACUAGCUAUUUGUAUUUUAAAAAUGAUUUAUCUUUCAAACCGUUAUACCAAUUAAUGAUCCAUUUUCAUCACUGACUUUAUCGCGACGAGAUCUUUAAAACUAGAUCCCAUGUUAACAUGUUUCGAUAAUUUUUGUUUUCGUCGGUACUUGCCAGAUUAUUAUGACUUACUUGUCAUAUUAUUUGUUAUAUAGUUCUGACAUUAAAUUAACUUGGUUAUCACAUUCAUGAAUGAGUAAAAAACUUGAUUCAUUAUACUUGUGCUGAUUCAAGCAUUAGCUUUUUCGUUAAUAGUGCUUUAAUACCCACGUUUUAGCUUCACAGAACAUUGUAAUACUUAAAAAGUAUAAAAUUAUUGUCAUGAUAACUAUGUAUAAUUUUUGUGACAACUGUACAUCCGUAAGAUGACAACUAUGAUGACAUAAAUGUGGCAACUAGGAACGACGAAAAAAAAUCAACGAAACAUGUCAAUAUGGGAUCUUAUUUUAAAGGUUUUGUCGAGACGAACCUAACCGUGAAGGGGAAUCUCCAAUCAAAUCAUUAAUUUAUGAGAUAAAACAUUUUUAAGAUUGACAAUAAAUAUGCAUAAGAUGUUGACUAGGACUCCAAAACGUUUUGCAUGCAUGCGCUGUUAAAAUGCUUCUUUUCCUCAUUGAGAUGCAUGCAAGAGUACAAGUUUUUGCUAACCUAAGAGCCGUAUUUAUAUAAUUUUUUAAUCCAGAAACAUGUCCUUAAAUGCGAUUUGCGCCUUGAUCAGCCAGCCGCCGCACGGGAAGGCAGCCGUGCGGCGCCGCUCCGUAGCGAGCUCCAAUAAUCAAUGUCUAUCUAUACAUGUAUCCAUCUAUACAUAGAAGGUUCACUAACUGGCGAGUCACAUUGUGCGUACAUGCAUGUAUACCUUGAUCUAGAAAAAAAAUGCAUGUAAAUAUGUAUACCUAUUUCCUUUUAUUUUAUUAUUCUCUCUCCACGAAUUAAUGUGCGUUUUAAUUCCUUCCAAAUCAAUAAAUCUUAAUAAAUUGACAUGCAAACUAUUAAAUGCUAGGUGCCUGGGCACCGAGGUGCCCCAAACAAUUUACCUAUGCAUAAGAGCAUCUCUAACAGCCACGCGAUAUAAGCGCCGCGCUGAAAAAGUUAUGUUUUGCGCGCGCAGCCGCUUCGGCCGCUCCAGCGGAGGCAAAAAAACGCACACACGGCAUAAAUGGCUCAGCGCGCUGCUUAUUUCAUGUCUCCGUUCCCGCGCGCUGCACACUCGAGCGCUCGCGUCGCAUCCUCUCCGACCGUGACGCCUUCGUCCCGUCCGCGCCACCGCCGGCGAAUUCGCCCAAUGUACGGCCGCGCCAACAUCCCCUUCACCCCUUCCUACGCUCGCGCCCCGCCGCUGCCGGCGCAAACCCUAGCACGGGGAGCUCUGGCUUCGCCUCCGCCGAUGCUCCUCCAACCACCGGUCUCGCGCGCGACCUUUUCAUAGCGCCACGGACGACCUCGGCGGUGGGUAGCGUCGCGCCGACGGCCGCCAUGAAGCUACGUGCCCCCCUCUCGAAGCUCCCAAAUGCGGCGGUGGCGAAGAAGGGCAAGGUCACUAGUAGAAAACAGGGCAUUGAGCCAACCACAUUGGACCCGGAUUGGAUAUAAACCGGUUCUAAAGGGUCUGUCUGCUGGGCCCCCUCCUUGCAGCAAAUGGCCGCAAGGCCUUUAGGACCGGUUUGUAACACAAACCGGUCCUAAAGGUUUUUGGACCGUUUGCUGCAGGAGGGGGGCCCAGUGGACAGACCCUUUAGAACCGGUUUGUAUCACAAACCGGUGCUAAAGGUUUUCUCAUUUUUGCAGCAACUGCGGGGCCCCGCUGUCAGACCCUUUAGCACCGGUUUUUGACACAAACCGGUCCUAAAGCCCUCCUCUCCUUCCUCCCCGAGCACCCCUAUAUUCCACCCCAUUAUUUCUAGCUCCAUUUUUUCUAGCUCGAGCUCAACUCCAUUUUUGCUCUCUCCUUCCUCUUGGGAGCUCUAAUCCAUCCCCAUUUUUCUCCACCAUUUGUCAAGAUUGUUGGCACCCAUCGGUCCUACGAUUAGCAUCAACAUUCCCUCUUCCGGUAUUGCAAGUUUUGCUCGUUUUCUUGCUCAUUUCAUUUUUGUUGUGCAAGCUAGGUGUUUGAUGAAAUGCCUAAGCUAGAGAGAGUUCAUCAUUUGUUAUGUAUACAUAUGCAAUUUGAGCUCAAAUUUAAUUAUGAUUUGUGGUUUUUUUUAGUGUCGCGCGCCUUGUCCCCUCCUCACCGCCGUCGAUCGCCCCGUCACCGACACAACCUUGGUGAGCCUAUUGUUUUUAUUUACCAAAACAAAUUUUGAUUUGUAUGAUUUACAUAUUUACUUGUAUAUAAUUUUCUUAUUGUGUAAGAUUUUUUUAUAUAUAUAGCGCCAUGGUUUUGAUAUCCGUCCCCGUUGGCCCUCGUCCAGUCUAUGAUUCGGAUGUGGUAUAUUAUCUUUUAUAACUACAUAUUUUCAUUUCCUGAUUAUAUGACAAUUAAUUACGCCGACCAACUUGACAUAGAUAUUUUUAUCUAGGAGGUAGUGGAACCGGAAAUGCCAAUCGACCCUAUUGUUGAGAAGUUACACUUAGUUGAACAAGAUGUUGGCCUGAAAGAAAGAUUGAAAAAAACUGAAGAAAGGUUGGAAAAAACUGAAAGAGAGAAGAUGACCUUGGAAAAGGUUCUUGCCGGUGUCGUCGAUGGUCACAAGAGCGAGAUGGACGCAAUGCGUCUGAAGAUUAGAAAGAUUAGAAAAUAUGCAAUUAGUAAAGAGGCUUGGUAUCAUUAUGCCGUCGGGUCAAUUGUUACCUUUGUUGCGAUUUUGAUCGCAUUUGUUGUUGUUUUUAAAUGCAUUAAUUAGAGAGAGUUUUUUAUGGUUGGUUUCACUGUGUGUUUUUAUGAGAACUAUAUAUGUAUGGUCACUACGCUACUUUGGUUUUAACGUGUGAUGAACUUUUUGUAUUAAUUAAUUAAUUUAGUCAUGAUGAUUUAGCAUAAUGGUUUUUGAUAAAUUUAUAUAAUGCAGAUGAACCGGCAAUGGAUGUACAGUGAUCGACGUCGUCCCGAAUUUCUUAAUGGCAUGCAUAGUUUUCUCAAUGUGGCUGAGAAAAACAGGCAGAAUGGAUUUAUUUUUUGUCCAUGUAAAAAAUGCCAGAAUAAGAGGAAUUUCCCUAACUCAAGAACCAUACACACCCACCUGUUGCAAGAAGGCUUCAUGCCAAGUUAUUUUUGUUGGACCAAGCACGGAGAAAGAGGGGUUGUAAUGGAAGACAAUGAAGAAGAAGAGGAUAAUGAUAACUAUCCUAUGUUCGGUGAACACGGUGAUACUGAAAUGGGGGAAGACGAGCCUGAACUUGAGGACAUUGUUGAUGAGUCUGAUGAUGAUCUUCGUCAGGUCAUUCGUGAAGAACAGAUAAACUGCGGAAGUGAAAACGAGAGGUUGAAGUUGGAGCGCAUGUUAGAAGAUCACAAAAAAUUGUUGUACCCAAAUUGUGAAGAUGGCCAGAAAAAGCUGGGCACCACCCUGGAAUUGCUGCAAUGGAAGGCAGAGAAUGGAAUAUCUGACAAGGGAUUUGAAAAGCUGCUGAAAAUAAUGAAGAAGAUGCUUCCAAGAGAUAACGUGCUGCCCUGCAGUACGUACGAAGCAAAGAAGGUUGUCUGCCCUCUAGGAUUGGAAGUGCAUAAGAUACAUGCAUGCAUCAAUGACUGCAUCCUCUACCGCGGUCAGCACGAGAAUUUAAAUGCCUGCCCGGUAUGCGGUGCAUUUCGGUAUAAGAUCAGGCGAGAUGACCCUGGUGAUGUUGAGGGCGACGACCGCCCCAGCAAGAGGGUUCCUGCCAAGGUGAUGUGGCAUGCUCCUAUAAUACCACGGUUGAAACGUUUGUUCCGAAACAAAGAGCAUGCCAAGUUGCUGCGAUGGCGCAAAGAAGACCGGAGGGAAGACGAUAUGCUGAGACAACCCGCUGAUGGGUCGCAGUGGAGAAACAUCGACGAUAAGUACGAGGACUUUGCACGUGACCCAAUAAACUUAAGGUUUGGUCUAAGUACAGAUGGCCUGAAUCCGUUUGGGGAGCAGAGUAGCAGUCAUAGCACCUGGCCCGUGACUCUAUGUAUCUAUAACCUUCCUCCUUGGUUAUGCAUGAAGCGUAAGUUCAUUAUGAUGCCAGUGCUUAUCCCAGGCCCGUCGCAACCCGGCAACAACAUUGAUGUGUACCUGAGGCCACUGGUUGAUGAACUUUUAGAGUUAUGGGCUGACGAAGGUGUACGUGUGUGGGACGAGUACAAACAGGAGGAAUUUGACCUACGAGGGUUGUUGUUUGUAACCAUCAAUGAUUGGCCCGCUCUUAGUAACAUCUCAGGACAGUCAAACAAGGGAUACAGCGCAUGCACACACUGUUUAGGCGAGACUGAAAGUAUACAUAUAGGCAAGAAUGUGUACCCGGGGCAUCGUCGAUUUCUUCCAGACAGGCAUCCCGUAAGAAAGAAAGGAAAGCAUUUCAAAGGCGAGGCAGAUACACGGAGGAAGCCAACCCUCCCUAAAGGUACUGAUAUAUAUGACAUGGUCAAAGAUAUAAAAGUAAUCUUUGGUAAGGGUCCUGGCGCACAAUCUGUUCCGAAUGACGCCGACAACCACGUAGCCAUGUGGAAGAAGAAAUCUAUAUUCUGGGAACUACCCUAUUGGAAAUUCCUAGAGGUUCGCUCUGCGAUCGACAUGAUGCACGUGACGAAAACUAUUUGCGUGAACCUGCUAAACUUAUUGGGCGUGCAUGGGAAGAAGUCGAGAGAUACACCAAAAGCACGGCUGCACCACCAACGUAUGCACGAACGAGACGACCUGAUGAAUCGAGAGAAUUUCAAAGGUCCUGCCAGCUACGCUCUUACCAAGGAAGAGAAGGAGAUCUUUUUCCAAGUCCUGAGCAGUAUCAAGGUCCCGUCUGGCUACUCGUCGAACAUAAAAGGAAUACUAAACCUGGAAGAGAAAAAGUUCCAAAACCUAAAGUCUCAUGACUGCCACGUGAUCAUGACCCAGUUACUUCCGAUUGCAUUGAGGGGGCUUCUGCCAGAAAACGUGUGAGUACCCAUUGUGAAGCUAUGUGCAUUCCUCAACGCAAUUUCUCAGAAGGCAAUCGAUCCAGCAACUCUACCAAGUUUACAGAAGGACGUGAUCCAAUGUCUUGUCAGCUUCGAGUUGGUGUUCCCACCAACCUUCUUCAAUAUUAUGACGCACCUCAUAGUUCACCUAGUCCAAGAGAUUUCCGUUCUGGGUCCUGUAUUCUUACACAAUAUGUUCCCCUUUGAGAGGUUCACGGGAGUCUUGAAGAAUUAUGUUAAAAACCGUGCUAGGCCAGAAGGAAGCAUGGUCAAGGGCUAUGGAACAGAGGAGGUCAUUGAGUUUUGUGUUGACUUUAUUCCUGACCUGAACCCGAUCGGUGUUCCUCAGUCGCGCCAUGAGGGGAGACUGCGUGGAAAAGGCACGCUAGGAAAGAAAUCAACAACAUGUAUGGACGAGCAAUCUUUCACUCAAGCACACUACACAGUUCUAGUUAAUUCCAGCUUGGCGGCUCCAUAUAUCCAGGAACACAAGGAUAUUUUACGCUUGGAAUACCCGGAGCAACCUGAAGAUUUCAUUGCUAAAGAACACGCGAAGACUUUCGGCGGUUGGUUGCAAAGACGUCUCAUUAAUGACAACAUUGUUGAAGAUGAGCUAUACUUGUUGGCCAAGCAACCAUCUUCGACUGUAUUGACCUUUAAAGGGUACGAGAUAAAUGGUAACACAUUUUACACGGCAGACCAAGAUAAAAAGAGCACCAACCAAAACAGUGGCGUCCGGUUUGAUGCAAAAGACGACAAUGGGCAAAGGGUCACAUACUAUGGUUACAUAGAGCAGAUAUGGGAACUUGACUACGGACCUUCCUUUAAGGUCCCUUUGUUCUGGUGCAAAUGGUUCAACCUGUCAGGCGUGAAGGUAGACCCGAAGUACGGAAUGACAACAGUGGAUCAGAAGAAUCUUGGGUACGGCAAUGAUCAAUUCGUCCUAGCCAAUGAUGUGGCUCAGGUUUUCUAUGUGAAGGACAUGUCUAGCAGACCGAGAAAAAGAAAAGAUAAGCAAGCGAAUACAUCAGACGAUGAGCCAAGGCGCCACAUAGUUCUUUCAGGGAAAAGAAACAUCGUGGGACUCGAGGACAAGACAGACAUGUGAGAAGAUUACAAUAAAUUUGAUGAAAUUCCUCCCUUCAAAGUCAAAGAUGAUCCAAGCAUCCCGUUAAAUGAUGAAGAUAGUCCAUGGUUACAGCGCAAUCAGAAGAAAGACAAGAAGAAAAAUAGAUAAGGGGUGUUGUUGGUGAUGUGUAAUAAUGUAUUAAACCUUUUAUGUAAUUGUGUUGACCAUUUUGAUAAAUAUUAAAAAUUUGACCAAUUUCCACUAAAUUUGACCAUUUUGAUAAAUAUCAUUUUUAGUUUUAAGUGUAAAAUGACAUUUUGACAAUUUAUAAAUAAAUGUAAAAGAAAACAGAAAAGGGAACAAAAAAGAAAAUAAAAAGAAACAAGGAAAAAAGGAAAACAAAAAGAAAAAGAAAACAAGGAAACAAAAAAAGGRAAAAAGGAAAAAUAAAAAGAAAAGAAACNNNNNNNNNNNNNNNNNNNNNNNNNNNNNNNNNNNNNNNNNNNNNNNNNNNNNNNNNNNNNNNNNNNNNNNNNNNNNNNNNNNNNNNNNNNNNNNNNNNNCCACAAAUACCUAUGGGCUUCCCCGGAGUGGGUUGCCCCCCUCCAGUGAACCCCCGGAACCCAUUCGUCAUUCCCGGUACAUUCCCGGUAACUCCGAAAACCUUCCGGUAAUCAAAUGAGGUCAUCCUAUAUAUCAAUCUUCGUUUCCGGACCAUUCCGGAAACCCUCGUGACGUCCGUGAUCUCAUCCGGGACUCCGAACAACAUUCGGUAACCAACCAUAUAACUCAAAUACGCAUAAAACAACGUCGAACCUUAAGUGUGCAGACCCUGCGGGUUCGAGAACUAUGUAGACAUGACCCGAGAGACUCCUCGGUCAAUAUCCAAUAGCGGGACCUGGAUGCCCAUAUUGGAUCCUACAUAUUCUACGAAGAUCUUAUCGUUUGAACCUCAGUGCCAAGGAUUCGUAUAAUCCCGUAUAUCAUUCCCUUUGUCCUUCGGUAUGUUACUUGCCCGAGAUUCGAUCGUCAGUAUCCGCAUACCUAUUUCAAUCUCGUUUACCGGCAAGUCUCUUUACUCGUUCCGCAAUACAAGAUCCCGCAACUUACACUAAGUUACAUUGCUUGCAAGGCUUGUGUGUGAUGUUGUAUUACCGAGUGGGCCCCGAGAUACCUCUCCGUCACACGGAGUGACAAAUCCCAGUCUUGAUCCAUACUAACUGAACUAACACCUUCGGAGAUACCUGUAGAGCAUCUUUAUAGUCACCCAGUUACGUUGCGACGUUUGAUACACACAAAGCAUUCCUCCGGUGUCAGUGAGUUAUAUGAUCUCAUGGUCAUAGGAAUAAAUACUUGACACGCAGAAAAACAGUAGCAAUAAAAUGACACGAUCAACAUGCUACGUCUAUUAGUUUGGGUCUAGUCCAUCACGUGAUUCUCCCAAUGACGUGAUCCAGUUAUCAAGCAACAACACCUUGUUCAUAAUCAGAAGACACUGACUAUCAUCGAUCAACUAGCUAGCCAACUAGAGGCAUGCUAGGGACGGUGUUUCGUCUAUGUAUCCACACAUGUAAAUGAGUCUUCAUUCAAUACAAUUAUAGCAUGGAUAAUAAACUAUUAUCUUGAUACAGGAAUUAUAAUAAUAACUAUACAUUUAUUAUUGCCUCUAGGGCAUAAUUCCAACAGUCUCCCACUUGCACUAGAGUCAAUAAUCUAGCCCUCACAUCACCAUGUGAAUCACAUUGUAAUAAAUCUAACACCCAUACAGUUCUGGUGUCGAUCAUGUUUUGGCCGUGGAAGAGGUUUAGUCAGCGGGUCUGCUACAUUCAGAUCCGUGUGCACUUUGCAUAUAUUUACGUCCUCCUCCUCGACGUAGUCGCGGAUGAGGUUGAAGCGUCGUUUGAUGUGUCUGGUCUUCUUGUGAAACCUUGGUUCCUUUGCUAAGGCAAUGGCACCAGUGUUGUCACAGAACAAGGUUAUUGGAUCCAGUGCACUUGGCACCACUCCAAGAUCCGUCAUGAACUGCUUCAUCCAGACACCCUCCUUAGCCGCCUCCGAGGCAGCCAUGUACUCUGCUUCACAUGUAGAAUCUGCUACGACGCUUUGCUUGGAACUGCACCAGCUUACUGCACCCCCAUUAAGAAUAAAUAUGUAUCCGGUUUGCGACUUAGAGUCGUCCGGAUCUGUGUCAAAGCUUGCAUCGACGUAACCUUUUACGGCGAGCUCUUCGUCACCUCCAUACACGAGAAACAUCUCCUUAGUCCUUUUCAGGUACUUCAGGAUAUUCUUGACCGCCGUCCAGUGAUCCACUCCCGGAUUACUCUGGAACCUACCUGCCAUACUUAUGGCCAGGCUAACAUCCGGUCUAGUGCACAGCAUCGCAUACAUGAUAGAGCCUAUGGCUGAAGCAUAGGGGACGGAGCGCAUAUGCUCUCUAUCCUCAUCAGUUGCUGGGCACUGAGUCUUACUCAAUCUCGUACCUUGUAACACUGGCAAGAACCCUUUCUUGGACUGUUCCAUUUUGAACCUCUUCAAAACUUUAUCAAGGUAUGUGCUUUGUGAAAGUCCUAUCAGGCGUUUUGAUCUAUCCCUAUAGAUCUUAAUGCCUAGAAUGUAAGCAGCUUCUCCUAGGUCCUUCAUAGAGAAACUUUUAUUCAAGUAACCUUUUAUGCUCUCCAAAAGCUCUACGUUGUUUCCAAUCAGUAAUAUGUCAUCCACAUAUAAUAUUAGAAACGCCACAGAGCUCCCACUCACCUUUUUGUAAAUACAAGAUUCUCCAACCACUUGUAUAAACCCAAAUGCUUUGAUCACCUCAUCAAAGCGUUUGUUCCAACUCCGAGAUGCUUGCACCAGUCCAUAAAUGGAUCGCUGGAGCUUGCACACCUUGUCAGCAUUUUUAGGAUCGACAAAACCUUCGGGUUGCAUCAUAUACAACUCUUCCUUAAGUAACCGUUAAGGAACGCCGUUUUGACAUCCAUCUGCCAAAUUUCAUAAUCGAAAAAUGCAGCUAUUGCUAACAUGAUUCUGACGGACUUAAGCAUCGCUACGGGAGAGAAAGUCUCAUCGUAGUCAAUUCCUGGAACUUGUGAAAAACCCUUUGCCACAAGUCAAGCUUUAUAAACGGUCGCAUUACCGUCAGCGUCCGUCUUCUUCUUAAAGAUCCAUUUGUUCUGAAUAGCCUUGCGGCCCUCAGGCAGCAUCUCCAAAGUCCACACUUUGUUCUCAUACAUGGAUCCUAUCUCGGAUUUCAUGGCUUCUAGCCAUUUGUUGGAAUCUGGGCCCACCAUUGCUUCUUCAUAAUUUGCAGGUUCAUUGUUGUCUAACAACAUGAUUGAUAAGACGGGAUUACCGUACCACUCUGGAGCAGCACGUGAUCUCGUCGACCUGCGUGGUUCAACAGAAACUUGAAUUGGAGUUUCAUGAUCAUCAUCAUCAACUUCCUCCUCAACCGGCGUCGCAAUGACAGAGGUUUCCCCUUGCCCUGCGCCACCAUCCAGAGGGAUGAGAGGUUCGACAACCUCGUCAAGUUCUAUCUUCCUCCCACUCAAUUCUCUCGAGAGAAACUCCUUCUCGAGAAAAGUUCCGUUCUUAGCAACAAACACUUUGCCCUCGGAUUUGAGAUAGAAGGUGUACCCAACUGUCUCUUUUGGGUAACCUAUGAAGACGCACUUUUCCGCUUUGGGUUCCAGCUUUUCAGGCUGAAGCUUUUUGACAUAAGCAUCACAUCCCCAAACUUUAAGAAACGACAACUUUGGCCUUUUGCCAUACCACAGUUCAUAUGGUGUCGUCUCAACGGAUUUCGAUGGUGCCCUAUUUAAAGUGAAUGCAGCUGUUUCUAAUGCAUAACCCCAAAAUGAUAACGGCAAAUCAGUAAGAGACAUCAUAGAUCGCACCAUUUCUAACAAAGUACGAUUACGACGUUCGGACACACCAUUACGCUGUGGUGUUCCAGGCGGUGUUAACUGCGAAACAAUUCCACAUUGUUUUAAGUGAGUACCAAACUCGAAACUCAGAUAUUCACCCCCACGAUCAGACCGUAGGAACUUGAUCUUCUUGUUACGAUGAUUUUCCACUUCACUCUGAAAUUGCUUGAACUUUUCAAAUGUUUCAGACUUGUGCUUCAUCAAGUAGACAUAACCAUAUCUACUUAAAUCGUCAGUGAAGGUGAGAAAGUAACCAUAUCCGCCACGUGCCUCCACGCUCAUUGGACCACACACAUCGGUAUGUAUGAUUUCCAACAAGUCACUUGCACGCUCCAUUGUUCCGGAGAACGGAGUCUUAGUCAUCUUGCCCAUGAGGCAUGGUUCGCACGUGUCAAGUGAAUCAAAGUCAAGUGACUCCAAAAGUCCAUCAGCAUGGAGUUUCUUCAUGCGCUUUACACCAAUAUAACCCAAGCGGCAGUGCCAUAAAAAUAUGGCGCUAUCAUUGUUUACUCUAACUCUUUUGGUCUCAAUGUUAUGUAUAUGCGUAUCUCUAUCAAGAUUCAAUAUGAACAAUCCUCUCACAUUCGGUGCAUGACCAUAAAAGAUGUUACUCAUAGAAAUAGAACAACCAUUAUUCUCAAACUUAAAAGAGUAACCGUCUCGCAAUAAACAAGAUCCAGAUAUAAUGUUCAUGCUCAACGCAGGCACUAAAUAACAAUGAUUUAAGUUCAUCACUAAUCCCGAUGGUAGUUGAAGUGACACUGUGCCGACGGCGAUUGCAUCAACCUUGGAACCGUUUCCUACGCGCAUCGUCACUUCGUCUUUCGCCAGCCUUCGUCUAUUCCGCAGUUCCUGCUUCGAGUUGCAAAUGUGAGCAACAGAACCGGUAUCGAAUACCCAGGCACUACUACGAGAGCUGGUUAAGUACACAUCAAUAACAUGUAUAUCAAAUAUACCUGAUUUUUCUUUGCCCGCCUUCUUAUCUGCCAGAUACUUGGGGCAAUUGCGCUUCCAGUGACCCAUACCCUUGCAAUAGAAGCACUCUGUUUCAGGCUUAGGUCCAGCCUUGGGUUUCUUCGGCGGAUUGGCAACAGGCUUGCCGCUCUUCUUCGAAUUGCCCUUCUUGCCUUUGCCGUUUCUCUUGAAACUAGUGGUCUUGCUCACCAUCAACACUUGAUGCUCUUUACGGAGUUCAGACUCUGCGACUUUCAGCAUCGCAAACAACUCGCCGGGAGACUUGUUCAUCCCUUGCAUGUUGUAGUUCAACACGAAGCCUUUGUAGCUUGGCGGCAGUGAUUGAAGGAUUCUGUCAGUGAUAGCUUCUUGCGGGAGUUCAAUCCCCAGUUCAGCCAAACGGUUUGAGUACCCAGACAUUUUGAGCACAUGUUCACUGACAGACGAGUUUUCCUCCAUCUUGCAAGCAUAGAAUUUAUCGGAGGUCUCAUACCUCUCGAUCCGGGCGUUCUUCUGAAAGAUAAACUUCAACUCCUGGAACAUCUCAAAAGCUCCAUGACGCUCAAAGCGACGUUGAAGUCCCGGUUCUAAGCCAUACAAGACUGCACAUUGAACUAUUGAGUAGUCCUCCUUACGUGCUAACCAAGCGUUCUUAACAUCCUGAUCAGCCGUAGCGGGUGGUUCAUCUCCUAGCGCAGCAUUAAGGACAUAAUCCUUCUUUCCAGCUUGUAAGAUUAUCUUAAGAUUACGAGCCCAGUCUACAAAGUUGCUUCCAUCAUCUUUCAACUUAGCUUUCUCUAGGAACGUAUUAAAAUUGAGGAUGACACUUGCGUGAGCCAUGAUCUACAACACAAAUAUAUUCAAAGUGGACUUUAUACUAUGUUCAAGAUAAUUAGAGUUCAACUUAAUCAAAUUAUAUGCUAAACUCCCACUCAAAAAGUACAUCUCUCUAGUCAUUUGAGUGGUUCAUGAUCCACUUACACUAUCCCAAGUCCGAUCAUCACGUGAGCCGAGAGUAGUUUCAGUGGUAAGCAUCCCUAUGCUAAUCAUAUCAACUAUAUGAUUCAUGAUCGACCUUUCGGUCUCAUGUGUUCCGAGGCCAUGUCUGCACAUGCUAGGCUCGUCAAGCUUAACCCGAGUGUUCCGCGUGCGCAACUGUUUUGCACCCGUUGUAUGUGAACGUUGAGUCUAUCACACCCGAUCAUCACGUGGUGUCUCGAAACGACGAACUGUAGCAACGGUGCACAGUCGGGGAGAACACAAUUUCGUCUUGAAAUUUUAGUGAGAGAUCACCUCAUAAUGCUACCGUCGUUCUAAGAAAAAUAAGGUGCAUAAAAGGAUUAACAUCACAUGCAAUUCAUAAGUGACAUGAUAUGGCCAUCAUCACGUGCUUCUUGAUCUCCAUCACUAAAGCACCGGCACGAUCUUCUUGUCACCGGCGCCACACCAUGAUCUCCAUCAUCAUGGUCUCCAUCAACGUGUCGCCAUCGGGGUUGUCGUGCUACUUAUGCUAUCACUACUAAAGCUACAUCCUAGCAAAAUAGUAAACGCAUCUGCAAGCACAUAUGUUAGUAUAAAGACAACCCAAUGGCUCCUGCCGGUUGCCGUACCAUCGACAUGCAAGUCGAUAUUUCUAUUACAACAUGAUCAUCUCAUACAUCCAAUAUAUCACAUCACAUUGUUUGGCCAUAUCACAUCACAAUCAUACCCUGCAAAAACAAGUUAGACGUCCUCUAAUUUUGUUGUUGCAUGUUUUACGUGGUGACCAAGGGUAUCUAGUAGGAUCGCAUCUUACUUACGCAAACACCACAACGGAGAUAUAUGAGUUGCUAUUUAACCUCAUCCAAGGACCUCCUCGGUCAAAUCCGAUUCAACUAAAGUUGGAGAAACCGUCACUUGCCAGUCAUCUUUGAGCAAAGGGGGUUACUCGUAACGAUGAAACCAGUCUCUCGUAAGCGUACGAGUAAUGUCGGUCCAAGCCGCUUCAAUCCAACAAUACCGCGGAAUCAAGAAAAGACUAAGGAGGGCAGCAAAACGCACAUCACCGCCCACAAAACCUUUUGUGUUCUACUCGAGAAGACAUCUACGCAUGAACCUAGCUCAUGAUGCCACUGUUGGGGAACGUCGCAUGGGAAACAAAAAUUUUCCUACGCGCACGAAGACCUAUCAUGGUGAUGUCCAUCUACGAGAGGGGAUGAGUGAUCUACGUACCCUUGUAGAUCGUACAGCAGAAGCGUUUAGAGAACGCGGUUGAUGUAGUGGAACGUCCUCACGUCCCUCGAUCCGCCCCGCGAACAAUCCCGCGAUCAGUCCCACGAUCUAGUACCGAACGGACGGCACCUCCGCGUUCAGCACACGUACAGCUCGACGAUGAUCUCGGCCUUCUUGAUCCAGCAAGAGAGACGGAGAGGUAGAAGAGUUCUCCGGCAGCAUGACGGCGCUCCGGAGGUUGGUGAUGAUCUUGUCUCAGCAGGGCUCCGCCCGAGCUCCGCAGAAUCACGAUCUAGAGGAAAAACUAUGGAGGUAUGUGGUCGGGCAGCCGUGAGAAAGUCGUCUCAAAUCUGCCCUAAAAGCCCCAUAUAUAUAGGAGGAGGGAGGGGGACCUUGCCUUGGGGUCCAAGGGAACCCCAAGGGGUCGGCCGAGCCAGGGGGGAGGACUCUCCCCCCCCAAACCGAGUCCUACUUGGUUUGGUGGGAGGGAGUCCUUCCCCCUUCCCACUUCUUCCUCUUUUUUUUUCUUCCUUUGAUUUUUUCUUCCUUGGCGCAUAGGAUUUGGUGGGCUGUCCCACCAGCCCACUAAGGACUGGUGUGACCCCCACAAAUACCUAUGGGCUUCCCCGGAGUGGGUUGCCCCCCUCCGGUGAACCCCCGGAACCCAUUCGUCAUUCCCGGUACAUUCCCGGUAACUCCGAAAACCUUCCGGUAAUCAAAUGAGGUCAUCCUAUAUAUCAAUCUUCGUUUCCGGACCAUUCCGGAAACCCUCGUGACGUCCGUGAUCUCAUCCGGGACUCCGAACAACAUUCGGUAACCAACCAUAUAACUCAAAUACGCAUAAAACAACGUCGAACCUUAAGUGUGCAGACCCUGCGGGUUCGAGAACUAUGUAGACAUGACCCGAGAGACUCCUCGGUCAAUAUCCAAUAGCGGGACCUGGAUGCCCAUAUUGGAUCCUACAUAUUCUACGAAGAUCUUAUCGUUUGAACCUCAGUGCCAAGGAUUCAUAUAAUCCCGUAUGUCAUUCCCUUUGUCCUUCGGUAUGUUACUUGCCCGAGAUUCGAUCGUCAGUAUCCGCAUACCUAUUUCAAUCUCGUUUACCGGAAAGUCUCUUUACUCGUUCCGCAAUACAAGAUCCCGCAACUUACACUAAGUUACAUUGCUUGCAAGGCUUGUGUGUGAUGUUGUAUUACCGAGUGGGCCCCGAGAUACCUCUCCGUCACACGGAGUGACAAAUCCCAGUCUUGAUCCAUACUAACUGAACUAACACCUUCGGAGAUACCUGUAGAGCAUCUUUAUAGUCACCCAGUUACGUUGCGACGUUUGAUACACACAAAGCAUUCCUCCGGUGUCAGUGAGUUAUAUGAUCUCAUGGUCAUAGGAAUAAAUACUUGACACGCAGAAAAACAGUAGCAAUAAAAUGACACGAUCAACAUGCUACGUCUAUUAGUUUGGGUCUAGUCCAUCACGUGAUUCUCCCAAUGACGUGAUCCAGUUAUCAAGCAACAACACCUUGUUCAUAAUCAGAAGACACUGACUAUCAUCGAUCAACUAGCUAGCCAACUAGAGGCAUGCUAGGGCGUGUUUCGCUAUGUAUCCACACAUGUAAAUGAUCUUCANNNNNNNNNNNNNNNNNNNNNNNNNNNNNNNNNNNNNNNNNNNNNNNNNNNNNNNNNNNNNNNNNNNNNNNNNNNNNNNNNNNNNNNNNNNNNNNNNNNNAUGAUGUUUUGACUCACAUCGUCGUAAUUUAUAUGUAGAUUUGAUCCCCUCAAACGGUUUACGACGAUCUCGGAUGAAAUUGUCAUAGAUUUAUGACGAAUUCAUCAACGACAUUUUAAAAAACAUCGCAUAUGAGCAUAUUUCUUGUAGUGGUAGUGUUGUAUGACUGGUGAAUGAUCGGUCCCCCUUGCAUGGAGGGCGACCGGGGGGUUUUAUAGACGAACCCGCCGGCCUACAAUAUGGAUAAAGGGUACAAGUGUGGGACCCGGCCGGCGGCCUCGCCGGCUGGUCGGGGGCCCACAAGAGUCUUGUCUUGUCGCUUGAGGGGCCCGCCGGCUGCAUGGUCUCAAUUAUGCGUGGGACCCGCCGGCUGGCCAAUGAGGCUCUCGCGUAAGGUUGACGCCGAGCACGCGCUGUACGUCAAGCGUCGCCCCGCGAGAUUCGUCAUGGGCAGGUAGUACGGCCGCCUCCACUGUUCCCCGCGCCGAGUGCAGUAAUGGAGUGGGAGUGUGAUGGUCCGAUAGUAUGCUAGAUGAUGGAUCAGAGCCGGGGUAGGUCAACGGCGUGGCCGCCGACGCUCGUACCUGUCGGACGCCCUGAUCCAGUACCUUUGCUGACGCGUAGCUACCUUUAAUCGUGAGGUCUUAUUGUGACCUACGAUCUGAUAUGACUUGUGCUCUUCGGCCGGCUAGCCUGCUUGGCUAGCCGGCUUAUGUGUAGCCGCCUCCUCCCUAGCCCGGCUGGCGGGACAAGGCCGACUCGGAAGAGGAGGCCGCCUCGUCUCUAGCCGGCUGGGGUUGCCCGGCCGGCCAAAGGGAUGGCCGCCUCAUCCUCUAGCCGGUAGACGUUGCCUAGCCGGCCAGAAGACUUGGGCCUUGGGGAAUCUGUAUACGUUCAUGUCCAUUCGGCCGGAAAUGGAGGAACAGGCUCGAUGAGCCUACCCCGGGGUCAUCCCCCCGACAAGUGUUGUCACUUGAUAACUCGAAGACUUCAUUAGGAGAAUCAUGUGAUGGACUAGACCCAAAUUAUGAACGUAGCAUAUUGAUCGUGUCAUUUUGUUGCUAUUGUUUUCUGCGUGUCAAGUAUUUAUUCCUAUGACCAUGAGAUCAUAUAACUCACUGGCACCGGAGGAAUACCUUGUGUGUAUCAAACGUCGUAACGUAACUGGGUGACUAUAAAGGUACUCUACAGGUAUCUCCGAAGGUGUCCGUUGAGUUAGUAUUUAUCAAGACUGGGAUUUGUCACUCCGUGUGACGGAGAGGUAUCUCGGGGCCCACUCGGUAAUACAACAUCACAAACAAGCCUUGCAAGAAAUGUGACUAAGUGUAAGUCACGGGAUCUUGUAUUACGGAACGAGUAAAGAGACUUGCUGGUAACGAGAUUGAAAUAGGUAUACAGAUACUGACGAUCGAAUCUCGGGCAAGUAACAUACCGAAGGACAAAGGGAAUGACAUACGAGAUUAUAUGAAUCCUUGGCACUGAGGUUCAACCUAUAAGAUUUUCGGAGAAUAUGUAGCAUCCAAUAUGGGCAUCCAGGUCCCGCUAUUGGAUAUUGACCGAGGAGUGUCUCGGGUCAUGUCUACAUAGUUCUCGAACCCGCAGGGUGUGGACACUUAAGGUUUGUUGAUAUUUUAGUAUAGUUGAGUUAUAUGUGUGGUUACCAAAUGUUGUUCGGAGUCCCGCAUGAGAUCACAGACGUCAUGAGGGUUUCCGGAAUGGUCCGGAAACGAAGAUUGAUAUAUAGGAUGGUUUCGGGCAUUUCCGGCAGUGUACCGGGAGUGACUAAUGGGUUUCGGGUGUUUACCGGGAGGGGCCCAUCCACCUGGGAGUGAGCCCAUGGCCUUAGGGUGGCGCACCAAGUCCUUAGUGGGGUGGUGGAGCCAGUCCAAAAGGGCUAUGGCGCCACAAGUAAAAAUACCAAAGGAAAGCAAAAAAAGGAAAGAGGGAGGUGGGUAGGAAGAGGAGAACUCCUCCUUCCCAAACCGAAUUAGAGGAGGAGUCCUCCUCCCCCUUCGGCCGUCACACCCUUGGGGCCCUUGUGCCCCAAGGCUAGCCCCUCCCCUCCUCCUAUAUAUAUUAGUGGUUUAGGGCUUUUUGAGACACAACUUUGCCACGUGCAACUCAAUCCUAUUCCACAUAGUUUUGCCUCUAGAUCGGAUUUCUGCAGAGCUCGGGCGGAGCCCUGCAGGAGUAGAUCAUCACCACCACCGGAGCGCCUUCACGCUGCCGGAGAACUCUUCUACUUCUCCAUCUCUCUUGUUGGAUCAAGAAGGCCGAGAUCGUCAUCGAGCUGUACGUGUGCUGAAUGUGGAGGUGUCGUCCGUUCGGCGCUAGAUCAGAUAGGAUCGUUGGACGGAUCGUGGGACGACGGUGAUUUGAAUCACGAAGCUGUACCACUACAUCAACCGUGUUUCUUAACGCUUCCCGCUUAUUGAUCUACAAGGGUACGUAGAUCUAAUCACCUCUCGUACAUGGACAUCACCAUGAUAGGUCUUCGUGUGCGUAGGAAAAUUUUGUUUCCCAUGCGACGUUCCCCAACAUUAGUAACGUUAUCAACAUCAAGUAGAAUAUGAGUAUACCCAUUAGAAGAAGGAAAAUGGUCCCAUUUAAUCAUUGCGCCAAACAUCAAAUGGUUCAGUAGCAACUAGCAAGUGAAUAAUUCAAAGGCAUUUCCUGACAUCUACAAAUAUUAAAAUUCUUUGAAAAUCACAAGAAAGGACAUACUUACAAGCAUCUUUAAAAAGAGUAGGCCAAUAGAAACCGGAUUGUAAUACCUUGUGUGCAUUUCCUGCGGUAGCUUGUGUGCUCUCUGUUGUCAUAUGGCUUAAUUUCUACUUUCUUAUAGGGCUGAGUAUUACCGGAGGCAAUUCAGGGCCAACCCUGUAAGCAAUGUCAUCUUCCUCCUCUUCCAAUUUUUCAAUCUCAAUUCUUUCACAUGCUUCACAAACAAAACAAGCACCUUUAAAUUCACAGAAGCUCUUGCCAUCUUCGGAGAGUCUACAUCAAAAUCAAUUGAGAACAAUUCUCCUAGUGUUUUACCCGGUGGGCACCAGAACACAAUAUCGAACUCACCAGGUGGAUAUUUCAGCUACCACAAAAUAUAGUCAAUCAUAUCAUUGCAGAAAGUGUUCCUAUCAAGGUUAUCAACACAAAUACUUUUUCAUCCAAAUAUGCCAAAUUAAGUCCUUUUCCCAUGAAGAAACCACCAAGAUGCAUCUCUAUACUGAAUUUUCCUGAAUCCGAACCUAUAUUGCAAAAUUUAUCAUUAGUUCACUAACCCUAGCAAGCAAUCGACAGAUGAAACAUAAGAGUGGGUACAAUCCUACAAAAAAAAGAUCAAGAACCUAGAACUUAUACUAAUUCACUACCUAAUCUAUCAUAGACCUAGCUAUUAGGAGGGGGGAGCCAAUCAUCGUAGACCUAAUCUACCUGAUAUGGCAGCGUAAGCGGAUAAUCCUAGCUAUUAGAGGGAGGGGAGGAGACACAGGGCUAACCAUAGGUCGGGCGUCUAUCCUCUUCUGUCCUCAACUUCGGCUACAUCUCAGUCAUCUUUGCCCGUACACUUGCCGCCGCCGACCUCGACACACCCGCAACACCACCCGUCGCCUCACCCAUCGGCAAAUAGAGAAAAGAGUGUCUUUUGUGCAAAAAAAAAAAACUACCCACACACGUGACAUGUGUGCCUCGCGUGACCUUCGAAUCAGGCGGCAGUCCGAUCAAAAUGGUCAGUGUGACCUAGAUGCACCCGCGUGCAGUGUGACUUAAGUGUAGACGCAACACAAGUUUUCAGGGCGCUAGUUCCUUUUGCUCAGGUAGAAAUGNNNNNNNNNNNNNNNNNNNNNNNNNNNNNNNNNNNNNNNNNNNNNNNNNNNNNNNNNNNNNNNNNNNNNNNNNNNNNNNNNNNNNNNNNNNNNNNNNNNNCUCCUGACCUCCGAGGAGACGGCGAGGAUGGUGGUGGACAACGCCAACAUCCCCGGAUGGUGGGAGGACAGGUUCGAGAAGGCCAUGGUGAAGAUGGCCGGCAUCGAGGUCAAGACCGGUGACCAGGGACAGAUCAGGAAGAACUGCCGCGCAAUCAACUAGUACCAAUUAAGUGCGUGCAUGUACGUCUACGUGCAUGCAUGUCAAAGGAUCGUCCAGUGUUUUGCUUCAUCCUGCAUGCGAACUUUCUUUUUUUAGCACCUACAUUUCUUGUCUUUUCAUUUGUCAUUUCUUAGUUCUAUUUGCGCCAACGGAAUUAUUUGUGUAUAUGGAAUGUACAUGUGUAAAUGGGCUGCGGAAAACAAUGUUCUUUGUAUUUGGGA
rnacentral:lncRNA from 1 species